rnacentral:lncRNA from 1 species
GAAGAGCAGAGCCAAUCUACAUCACAACCUGCCCACGAGACUCCAACUCAAAAGAAGGUUCCAUCUCAAACAUACGCUUUAUCAACAUCUCUGCAACUUCUGAAAAUGGCGUCUUCUUGUCGGGUUCCAAAGCUGGACUCCUCAGCAACUUGAGAUUCCAGAAUGUGAAUUUCACUUACAGAAGAUGGACCAAUUUUCCAGAUGAUUUAGUAGACUACAGACCAGGAUGCCGGGGACUUGUCAAACACAGCCCAGCCGGUAUGAUCAUGGAACACAUUGAUGGUUUGGAGCUGGAAAACGUUAAUAUGAGAUGGUCUGGUGUUAUCCAAAACAAGAGGUGGAACAACCCUCUAGACUUCCUGCCUUCAACUGUGAAUAACAUUUCUUUCCUUAAUUUCCAAUCUGGUUCCGAUUCAGUGAGGGAGAUCAGAGCCCCGAGGGAAGGAUCUAUAGUUUAAAGCUAUUCUCAGCUUCAAUUUUUUGUGAAGUAUAGUCAGUGGUGCUUUCAUUUCACUGUACAGGGCAGAUUCUGCUUGUGUACUGAUCCAAGUUGAAAACAUUUUGUGUUGUAUAAAUAAAUGAUUUUGUUUUUCAAAAUUAUUUAGUGAGAUGAUUUUAGAAUAUAAUGUCUUUACUAAAUUUAAAAACAUUUAUGACAGGCAAGCCUCUUAUUGCUCCAAGCUAAAAAACCUUUCAUUUAGACUGUUGAGAGUGUGCCCAGACAAGUGCUAGGCAUAGUUCCCCGAGCAAGUUAAUCAACUCUCGGUGGAAGAGAAAAUGAUCUGGAAAAUCACCAGCUUGAUUUUCCAUCGUCCCAAACAAGUGCUUUCUUCCAUCUCCAACCCAUUUAGCCGCCAACGAAUCCUCCUCUCCACAUUCCCGGCAAAUUCACCAGAUUUGAAAACCUUAUGCUCCAACCGUCAACUAAAAGAGGCCCUGUUGGAAAUGGGCAUUCAAGGCCUUGAAGUGGAGUUUCAAGGCUACGAUUCAGUCUUAACUGAGUGUAUAAGCCAAACAGCCAUUAGAGAAGGCCAAAGGGUCCAUGCCCAUAUGAUCAAAACCUGUUAUGAACCGCCUGUGUACCUUAGGACUAGGUUGAUUGUUUUGUAUAAUAAGUGUCGGUGUUUAGGUGAUGCAAGGCGGGUGCUCGAUGAAAUGCCGGAAAGGAAUGUAGUCUCUUGGACUGCGAUGAUCUCAGGUUAUUCUCAGAGGGGUUAUGCCUCAGAAGCCUUGCAUCUUUUUGUAGAGAUGCUAAUGUCAGGUACUUUUUCCCUUUUUUUUUUUUUUUUUUCUUUUUUAAUUUUUUUAUUUUAUGUUCCAUUUAUGAUGCGCGAUAUGUUGGAGGAAAUAUCAGUGCAAGUGUGGAAGAAGAAUAACAUGAUUUCUUCUUUCCAUUUGGAAAAAUGAUAAGAACUUGUCAAAAUAAUGACUUUUUUUCUUUCUCUACGAGGGCCUGAUAUUAAUAGUCCAUCAAUUGGAUGAGCAUUUUUCUUAGCAAAAUAAUUGUAACUGGAUUCAUAAACCAGUCCCAAGUGGAGAUUAAUUGAAUCAUUAUAUUUAGUAGCUGGACAUAUUAUAAAAAUAUGUGGGGUAUUUGUCAACCACAGGGAAUGGUUCCAUUUUUUUUUCUGCAUAUCAUAAAAUUCUAUAUAAAGUGGUGUUAGACCUACAAUAAGAACACUUCUGCAAUCUAGAAGUGGUUAUUAUUGUUUGUAUUAAGUGGAGACAUUUUACAACUGCUAUUAGAUAGUUGUGUCUGCUAUGGCAAGAGAAAUGGAAUGAUUCUAUUUCCAUGGAUUUUCAGAAUCCCUCCUUGAGUAUAACUAAAAGUCCAUGAGGUAAUCUUAGAUGGGCAAGGUUGAUUUUUUUUUUGGUUCCUGCUAUAUAUACAUCAAAACUUGUUUGUCAUUGCUAUUAUGGUUUCUAAGUCCAGAUUGUAACAUGGAAUGAUUGCAGGUACAGCCCCUAAUGAGUUCACUUUUGCAACGGUGCUUACUUCUUGUACAAGCAGUUCUGGGUUUCAGCUAGGAAGGCAAAUCCACUCUCUCGUUAUCAAGACCAGUUUUGAAUCACAUAUAUUUGUUGGGAGCUCACUUCUGGACAUGUAUGCGAAAGCUGGUAAGAUUUGUGAAGCUCGUCGAGUUUUUGAUGGUUUGCCAGAAAGGGAUGUUGUUUCUUGUACUGCUAUAAUCUCAGGCUAUGCACAGCUGGGUCUUGAUGAAGAGGCAUUAGAUUUAUUCCGUAGAUUGCAGAGGGAGGGAAUGAGGUCAAAUUAUGUUACUUAUGCUAGUGUUUUAACUGCAUUAUCUGGACUUGCUGCAUUGGAUCACGGCAGACAAGUUCACAGUCAUGUUCUUCGGGCCAAACUGCCCUUCUAUGUGGUUCUUCAGAAUUCUCUGAUCGAUAUGUACUCAAAAUGUGGAAGCCUCACAUACUCAAGAAGGAUCUUUGAUAGCAUGCCCGAGAGAACUGUCAUCUCAUGGAAUGCCAUGCUUGUGGGAUAUAGCAAACAUGGUCUGGGAAGAGAGGCUGUUGAGCUUUUCAAAUUGAUGAAGGAAGAAAAUAAAGUCAAACCUGAUAGCGUCACUUUUUUGGCUGUUCUAUCUGGUUGCAGCCAUGGAGGGAUGGAAGAUAGAGGGCUUGAAAUUUUUUAUGAGAUGGUGAACCAGAAAGAUGGAUUUGAGCCAGAGAUUGAGCAUUAUGGGUGUGUUGUUGAUUUGUUUGGGCGUGCAGGCCGCGUGGAAGAGGCUUUUGAAUUUAUCAAAAAGAUGCCUUUUGAGCCAACUGCUGCUAUUUGGGGUUCACUUUUAGGUGCUUGUAGGGUUCACCAGAAUGUUCACAUUGGGGAAUUUGUGGCUCGUCGACUCUUAGAAAUUGAGUCUGAAAAUGCUGGGAAUUAUGUUAUUCUUUCCAAUUUGUAUGCUUCUGCAGGGAGAUGGGACGAUGUAAGAACGGUCAGGGAGUUGAUGAAGGAGAAGGCUGUGAUAAAGGAGCCUGGGAGAAGUUGGAUUGAGCUUGAUCAAACUCUUCAUACUUUUCAUGCAAGUGAUCGAUCCCAUCCAAGAAAGGAAGAGGUAUUUGCCAAGGUGAGGGAGUUAUCAAUCAAGAUCAAGGAAGCUGGUUAUGUUCCUGAAUUGAGUUGUGUUUUGUAUGAUGUGGAUGAUGAACAGAAGGAAAAAAUACUCCAAGGUCACAGUGAAAAACUGGCAUUAGCUUUUGGGCUGAUUUGUACACCUGGAGGAACACCAGUCCGGAUCAUAAAAAACCUUCGGAUUUGUGUUGAUUGCCACAAUUUUGCCAAGUUUUUGUCAAGGGUUUAUGGUAGAGAAGUGUCUUUGAGGGAUAAGAACCGCUUCCAUCAUAUCGUUGGAGGAACCUGUUCUUGUGGAGAUUACUGGUGAGCUUUGACGAUUCUUUGACAGGUGAAUCUUCUCUGUUUGUACAUUAGUUUCUGGUUUCAGCAUAUCACAUUAUUGUUUCCUAUAGAUUAUGAGAUGAGCAGACAAACCAUAUCUCUGAAACAGCAAGAUGGAACUCAAUAUACUGACAUAUGCCAUGAGAAAUGAGUUGUCUUCAAUAACAAAGAGUUACCAAGUGGAGAAGCUUUCAGAUUCUUUCUGAUUGGAGAAAUUUGGUUUUGAUGAAUAUAAGACACAUAAGACAAACUGCAGUUUCCUGGUGAGAAGAUUCUAAACUGGACCUUGAGGCAGUAAAGGGUGAUUAAGAUCAUCCUGCUGCAGAUGAUUUUUCUUGUUUCUAAUGCAAGGUUUUCUGAGAAAACUCCAUGAUCUUGGCUUGAUCAUUGCAGCAACUUGGAAGCCCAGACAUCAGUUUUGCAGAUAAAGAUAUGAAGAGCAGCAUAAUUAUGUUGAUGCAGGCUAGAUUUUUUGUUUUCUCUAAAUUUCCCAGCAUCCAAGCAUUUUUAAAAUACUGAGCUUUUGUGUAGGAUCCCAGUGGAAAUGGUUGGGAAUGUUAGCGGUUAGAGGAGAAGUAGAACGAAAUCAGUAUGAUAUGAUCUUGUAGGCAGUGAAUUCUGUCAAAAUUUGAAAUUUCAAAUAAAAUUGCUCUAUAACAAUUAUAAAACAUUAAGAGUAUAUUUGGUUCAAGAAAAUUUGAGUCAAUGGAAAAAAAAAGAAAGAGAAAAUUAGUAGAAAAGAACAAAUAGAGAAAAAUAAAAAUUGAUUUAGACUAUAUUUGGUUUUUGUAAAAAUUUAUAUAUUUUAAAUUAUUUAAUUUUUAUAUAGAAGAGUUAAAAAAGAAAUGAGUUUAAAGUAUUAUAUACCAAUAAUUUGUUAACUUUAAAUAUAUUUUUUACUUCCCUUCUAUUUUUCUUUACUUUUAUUUUUCCUCUCUAUUUUUUUCCCUAAUCUUUUCCCUUAAAUUUUUCAAAAAUAAAACAUAGUUUUUUUAUAUGUUAUUAUAACUUUUUUAUUUAUUUAUAAUUUAAAAAUAUGUAAUUUUUUAAUUAAUUUUAAAUAAAUUUUAAUUUAUUUUUAUAUAUUUUUGUUAGUAUAAUCUAGAGAAAAUCAUUUUUCUUAAUAUAUUUUUUUUGAAGCUAAACAUAACCUAGGAGUUUUCUAUUGGUUUUUCCUUGAUACUAUCGGGGAUGUAAUUAAUUUAAUAAUUUAAUAUGAUGAAAUAAUUUAAUUUAAAGAAUUAAAUAUAUUUAAUAAAAUAAUUUAAUAUUAUAACUCACAGAAUAAAUCAUCUUUUCUAAAUUCCAAAUAUUUUUUUCUUUUUUCUUGCUUCUCUCUAAACAUCUCUAUUUAAUAUCAAUCAAUUAAACAUAAAUAUAUAAAUUUAAUAGUUUUAAAAAAACUUUUAAAAAAUAAAAACUAAUAAGGUCAAGUAUUUAUUUUUCUAGUUAGAGACUAGCGUAUUGGGGCUAACAUUGGAUUCGCUCGAGGAAUUACUGGUUUAGUUAAAUAUCUAAUACAUUUUUAGAUUGAAGAAGUCAUUUUUUGAUAAGAGACUAUGAGUUUUUGUGGUUUGCAUGCGUCCUAGUUAGAACUUUUAAGGGCCAAUGUAAUUCAUUACAUUGAAUUUACAUUAUAGGCGAAAAAAUUAUCAUCUCCAUGAAUUUAAAUCUUGAGUUAUUGCGAAAAAAAAUAAAAAUGAAACAAUGAUAUUAUGGAAGUAAAUAUUGUGGCACACCUUUAGCCAAUUUGAUUUGAUGGAGGGAUAAACUAGUGGCUCUUUCAUUGUGUAGACAAGGUUGGUUAGAUUAACCCUUUUUUUUUUUGUAUAUUAUAUAUUCACCUAUGCCGCUUUCUUGAUUGCCUCCACAUCACGCAAAUUUAGUUAAUUAUUAUUAUUUUUUAAUGUGUUGUAUUUACUAUAAUCUCAUUUCUUUCUAUGGAGAAGGGGUUCUAUUUAUAGUAAUAUUGAUCAUUUAUUCGACGUCAAAGACAUUUGGAAUUUCAUUUCUAAUGACACUUUUUUAGUUAGGGAUAAGAAUGUGGUAAAUUAUUUCAUAUAUUUUGAUAUUGAAAAUUCGAUGUUUGAGAUUGAUAACAAUCAAUCUUUUCAGAGUGAAUUAGAAUGUUUUUUAUUUUUAUUUAUUUUUUUUUUUAUAGUUAUCGAAAUGCUAGUUAUCUGAAUAAUGUAUUUAAGAGUAAUCAUCCCCACUAUGAUAGUUAUAUGCAUAAUACUAAAUAUAGUUGAAAUAAGUACAUUCAAAUAGAUAUAAGGUUUUAUUUAGUACACGAAAAUGCAUAUCAUGAUUCUUUUAUCUAUCAAUAAUUGCAAGCAUUGCAAAUGUAAGAAGUAGACAAUUAUCUUGACAAUAAUGAGUCAAACUAGUAUUUGUAGUGAAUCCCCGUGUUAAGUAGUUAUGUAUUAUAAUAGUAGUUAUGUAUUAUGAUAGGAACUCCAAUUCUCCGAUAAAUAUAACCUUUUUAAGCGUUAUUAGACUUAAAAUAGUUUUAUACUUUCCAUUAAAUUAACUUAAGAAUAUUGAAUUCUCAUCCUCAUCCAACACAACUUUAAAAAAAUGCAUGAUGCGAUUUUUAGAAUUUGAUAAACUUAAAUGAUAUUUAUUAUUAGAAGAAGGGGCCCAAAUGAUUUAAAAAUUAUUAUUUUUUUAAUAUCUUAGUUUUUUAAUUAAUUUUUAAAAAUCAUUAUACUUUUAACAUAAGUUUGUAACAGUUUUUAUCUUUUGUAUAAAAAUUGCUAUUUUUUUAUUUUUAAAAACUUAAAACAGAAAGUAUUAAAAAGUUCAUUUUUACAAAUAUUUUUCUUAUUUGAAACGACGUCGUUUCAGAAAUUUAAAUGUCCGCAAGAAGGAGGAGGAUAAUUAAAUAGAUCCUAACUAGCUGCUCCUCAGAAACGACGCCGUCUUGAUCUGACUGCAACUCCAGACAUUUGCCCUCGCUCUGUGUCUACUUUCUCAUCGACCAAACAUCGAAAUGCCUUCUGCUAAACCCUUCACCUCAGCCGCGGGCGCCCUCCGAAACCGCCUUCUCCCCAGCCUCCGCACAAGAGGCGGUGGCGAAUCAGGCCCAAGUCGGUGGACAAGCCCCGGCCAUCAGGAUCGCCCGAAUGGCUACCUAUUCAACCGGACUCCGCUACCACCCGGACAGACGCGACAAUGGGAAGAUUGGGAACUUCCUUGCUACGUCACCUCAUUCCUCACUGUCAUCAUCCUUGGCGUUGGCCUCAGUGCCAAGCCCGAUCUCACCAUCGAAACUUGGGCUCACCAGAAAGCUCUUGAACGCCUCGCUUCCGAGUCAUCUGGAUCCGAGUGAUUUCAAAUCGGGGCUCGGAUAAUUGGGCUUUCCCCACUCCAUCGAUGGGCUGGUCAUGGUGAUUAUGUUGAUAUGAUGUGGUUCAAUAAGGGUUUCAACUCUUGAAAAUUUGGUACCUUUUAGAGAUUUGUUUCUGUAUUUUUACUGUUAACUUUUGGAUUCUUUCAAGAAUCCUGUUUCAAGAGGUUUAAGAUUUUCUUGAUUGAAUUUACGGGUUUGUUAUCUUUGUUUGGUUUUGGGAAAAGCUAGGAAAAUUACAAGGGAAGAAAUUUGAAUCCUAAUCCAACUCUGCCUAAUGCGCUGAUUCGAUCAUUUAGCUUAGCUGGGUUGAUAUGGUGUGGUUCGGGAAAAUCCUCACUCUUGAAUUAACCGUGUUAAAGCUCAAUUGCUGCAUUUUUAGUGUUAAUUUGGGUGCUUGAAAUGAGAAAUAUAAAUAUCUCUUGACCUCGAUUGAUCGGGGUUUUGUUGGGCCUUUUUUUUUGUUGCCGAGAAAAAGUUACGGAAAAAUUGGGAAUGAAAGACAGGAAACCUCCACUGAGAUGUACUGCAUACCAGGUCUAGUUAGUUUUCUGUGUUCAAAUGUUGCAGUGAUUUGUGAUCUAGGAAGGGCUUACUGACCUGCCCUUUUGGGUUUUCAGUUACUUGUUAAACUAAUUCAAUGAGGUCCUAACUGUUACUGCAAUCUUCUCUUUCAACUUGGAUGUUUGACAUGAUAAUACAUGGAGAAUUUUGUUGUGCUCCUGGCUCAAUUUUAUGUUUGGAUGACAAUAGAAUGUUGGAUUGGUUGAAAAAUUGAAAAUUAGACAUCAAAAUCAAUUUCUUUAGGCAUUAGUUAUUUUAUUUAAAUGGACAUUGGGCAUGAUAACUCCUUGAGAGAUUUACAGCCAUAUUAUCUCAACUUAUGGCCAUUUUCUACUGGGUUGUGGGUAGUACUAGCAAGUUUAUGACAAUUGUAUUAUAUUUGUUUUUGAUUUCAUAAAAAUAAAAAAUGGGGUUGCUGAAGCUUAUUCACCCAUUAAUGAUCCUUAGUGUUUCAAACUUUGAUGUUUUUCCCAUUGAGGAUUUCUUAUAUAGUUUAUAACAGGCUUGACAGAAAUGUCUUCCUCAAUUUUGUGUUGCUAGUAGGCUGUUAAAUGACAUCAAGAAACUCAGUUUAUCACCUGGGUGAUCUCUAGGUUACAUCAUGAAGGUUACCUAUUGUCAAAACCACAAUCAUGCAGAUAAGCUUGCAUUUAUGAAUAGAAGUUGAAAAACCUAUAAUGAUGUAUUGUACACUUCCACCUAAUAACAAUGAAGGUGUGGAGUCUGUGGACUUGUGAUUAAGGUAGCACUCUUGCAAACGGGAUUAUAUCCUACAUGAUUGCAAGAAGUAGGAGCAAGUUUGUGACACUUGUAUUCUGAACUAGUAACAAAGGCAGUGUAGAUGUAAGGACAAAGAAUGAUGUGCCCUUGCGUGAUAGUGUUUUCUAUGUAUUGUAGUUGUCCAUGACACCAUGUAUUAGAGUUGUAUCACAUAGCAAGGAACUUUAUGUCGCAAGAACUUCAUUUCUUCCACUGUUUUGGACUUUGUGAGAGAUGAGGUUUUCUACAUGAUUGUAGGCGGUAUGAUAAAUUAGGAAUGAGGGUUUAGAUGACUUAUUUGAGUUGGUUGCUUAUGUGGUUCAAGGCCAUUUCAAGUUUAAGAAUCAAUUUGGACAAAAGUGAGUUAAUUCUUGUGGGGAGUGUGGAUAAUUUAGAUGACUUGGCCUUGGAUUGAGUUGUGAGGUGGGUGUUCUUCCUUCCCCUUACUUGAGUCUUCCUUUGGAGGUCCUUUUUAAAUCUAUGACAGCUUGGGAUAGGGUGGAGGAAAGGUUUCGCAAAAGGCUAAUCAUGUGGGAAAGACAGUAUAUCUCAAAAGGAGGGAGACUUACUUUGAUUCGUAACACUCUUUCCAGUUUAGAAGGAUUUUUUUUUGUGGGGUGAUGGGGCACUUGUGCAAAAACCACGCUUAGUAAGGUGGAUGACAGUCUAUUCAGGUAAAAAAGGAAAGAAGAGGGAGGGGGGGGGGGGGGGUUUGGUUGGUUUGGGCGUAAAGUGUAUUUUAGUGAUGAACAAAGUUAUCCUUUGUAAGUAAAGUUGGCACUUUGCCAAUGAAAGAGUGGCGUUUUGGAAGCAAGUUAUUAGCCAGAAGUAUGGUGAAUAUGAAAGAGGUGGCGUUCUUGUGAGGGAUAGGCAUGGUGUUGGCCUUUGGGAAACCAUAAGAAAGGAUUGUGGUCUUUUGAAUAGUAGAAUAUUUUUCUUAGUGGACAAUGGUCAAAUAGUAAGAUUUUGAAAGGACAAGUGUUGUGGAGACAAAUUGCUAUGUAUUUCCAUCCUCUCCUUAUUUGCCCUAGUUGCUUCUAAAGAAGCGUGGGUAACAGACGCUUGGAACUCAACAGUUGAAGGGGGUUGGAUAAGCUCCUCGCUUCUCUAGGCCAUUUAAUGAUUGGGAGGUGGAAAGUGCAGAGCGUUUUUUCCUGAAACUUCAAGACAAAAGGAUGUAUAGACAACUGAAUGAUUGGGAGCUGGAAUCCUUGGUUUAUUAGACAACUGAAUGAUUGGGAGUUAGAGGAGGUAGGCAUCUUUUUUGAGAGGCUGUAUGAUCAUGCUAUUUCUAUGGAUACUGAGGAUUCGGUGAAGUGGGUUGACACAAAGAGUGGUAUUUUUUCUGUUAGGUCCUUCUACUCCUCCUUGGCUAGUAGGGGAGUGGAUCAUUUCCCUCACAGUAGAGUCUGGAACUCCUAGGUCCCUGUUAGAGUCAACUUCUUUGCUUGGGAGGCAACUUGGGCUAAGAUAUUGACUCUAGAUCAGCUCAAAAAGAGGGGGUGGAAGAUGCCUAAUAGAUGCUACAUGUGCAAAGAGGAAGAAGAAACAAGUGUUCAUAUUCUUUUUCAUUGCCUGGAAUCUUGUAUACUGUGGCAGCUCAUUUUUGCUUGUUUGGUGUUCAUUGGGUGAUGCACUCUUUGAUGAGAGGUUUACUCUUGAGUUGGGGAGGCUUUCGUGUUGGUAGAAAAAGGAAAAAGGCUUGGAAGGUUGCUUCGUUAUGCCUUUUUUGGUCUAUUUGGAGGGAAAGAAAUAUGAAAGCCUUUGAGAAUUGUGAAUGUUCAGAUCAUUCUUUAAAAAGUUCUUUUUUUGUAUCUAUUUUGGGAUUGGGUAAGAUUGUAUAUUGGGGAGAGCUCCUUGUCGAUGCUUGAUUUUGUAGAUUGGUUAGGAGCUCUGUAAGGUGCGGUUGUUUUUGUGUGUCUGCUCCUUUUUUUUUUGUUUCUUUGUAUACAUUGUGUAUACUUUUUUAAUACAAUUACUUUUACCUAUCAAAAAAAAGGGAUAAGGAAGAUAGGGUGGUUUGAACGGAUUCGAAGAGCAAUAAGUUUUUCAAUCAAAUCCCUUUAUUUCACUUUGGAGCCUGGUGACCCGUUAGUGUUCCUGUAGAGCAUCAUCUGGAGUUUUUGUGUGCCACCUAAGGUAGUUUUUUCGCUUAGGAGGCAACAUGGGGGAAAGCCUUAACUUUGGAUCAAGUCCACAUGAGGGGGUUUUCUUUGACCAAUAGAUGUUUUCUUUGCCAUUCUAAAAAAGAAACCGUUGAUCACAUUUUGGUCUACUGUGCAAAGACAAGGAUUCUGUGUCAGCUGUUUUUUACUCUCUUUGGAGUGUCAUGGGUUCUUUCAUCUUCAGUUAAAGAUGCACUCCCUUGGUGGCAUGGGUCAUUCUUGAGUAAAGUUCCCAAAAAGCCUUGGAAGGUUGCCUCAUUAUAUAUCUUUUGGACUGUUUGGAAGGAAAGGAACAUGCUAGCUUUUGAUAAUACAAAGCUUUUGGUCCAAAAGAUGAAAAACUGUUUUGUUUGUAAUUUAUGGUCUUGGUAUAGGAUGUCUAUAGAUGUGGGCCCUAUGUCUCUUUUAAGCUUUAUUGAUUGGCUAGGUUCUAAGUGAGGGCAGGUGUUGUUUUUUGUUCUCUCCCUCCCCCGCUUGGUUGAGCCUUUUGGCAGCCGGUGUAUGCUUCCUCUAUACUUUGGGAAGCUGUUUUGGCGUUUCCUUUCCUUUUCAUAUGUACCCUUUGUUUUACCUAUCAAAAAAAUGAAUUAGGAAAGAAGGCAAUGGUGAUGCAAGGGCAAGGAAGCAUGCACCGCUGUGUGAAAGUGUGUUAUACAUAUUAUAGUUUUCCAUGUAUUAGCGUUGUAUCACAUAAUUUAUUUUUUAUUUUUUACCCACUGCUAUGGAUUUUGUAAAAAUAACAAUUGCAGUUGCUGAAGCUCAUUUACCAUUUUAUGAUCCUCUGUUUACUUAUUUUCUGCCACUAUGCACAUAGAAGAUUCCUUACAUACUACCCUAACAGGCUUGAAAAUUUUUCUCACUUGCUAGAUUUGUAUUGCUUGUAGGCUGUUAAAUCAUGGUGAGAAACUCAGUUAAUCACCAGGGUGAUUUAUAGGUCAUCUUGGAAAUGUUACCAUGUGUUAAAAUGACAAUCAUGCAAAUGAGCCUGUAGUGAACCUGACAUUGAUGUAUAGACAUCCUAAUACAUAUAAUAGAGCACUGUGGACUUCUAUCUUAUAUGAUCAAUGCAUGAUUCUUGGAAAUGAGGCAGGACUUUGUGAAUCAAGCAACUUAUUCCUCACAUAUUCCAGACAACCGGUUUGCUACUCAUUAUUUUGUUUACCCUUGUAUCCUUGUUUGCCUUUUAGGAAUGCAUGCAUAGGCUGCAAGCUUAUUGUGCAUUUCAAUGUGGAGUUGUUUCUUUAUAGUAUCCCUCUUUUACUGUUUAUUCUAAAUGGAUUGACACAUAAGGAUGUUUUAUGUUGCUUGUAUUAUGGCUAGUAUUUCUCAACUUGGUUAUCAAGUUCAAUUUUUCCACUCUCAAUGACACUUGCAGUUGUUUGUGUCUAAAUUUCAGAAAGGUGUCACAUCCUGCAUCAAUUACCAUUGUCAAAGUAUUGUAUUUUGUCUUUCAUUUUUUCAUGUCUUGUUUCCAAUGACAAGACGGACAAGCUCAUUUCUAAGGAUAGCUUGAUUUGGAUGAUGGUAUUUAGGGUGCAUUUUAUGGUUGAAAUAUCCUGCUGUUGUAUGUAAUGUCAUGCUGCUGUCACAAUGCAGUUGGUCUUUAUAGAUUAAACCUUAGCGUAUGUCAAACUGAUUGGAUUUUAGGAGGGAAAGAAAGGCGAAUAUAUCAAAUUGUUGGAUUACCAUGUGAUAGACUUAAAUGAUGAAUUUGUACGAGCUACCUGGUGUUCUGAAUUUGUUCUCUUGUUUGGUAAAAACUUGAUGUGCAAACUGCUGUCAGUGCUGAGAUUAGCAUUGUUGACUGGACUGUGGCCAUAAAUGAAUUUUGGGAUGGAUAGAUGUAUGACACUUUGUGGAUUUGAUUGAGUAGUUUAGUAUGUUUCUUGUUUUUUUGUUUAUGCUUUGUGGCUUUUUUUUUUGGGAAGGGGGGGGUGGGGUUGGUCAUAAGCUGGUCCUUUUACUUUCAAAGUAGCCUUUUGAAUUAGGUGUGAUUUAAAUUAAGAGGCUACUGUAUCGGGGUUGGAUGCUCGUAAGGUAACUAGGAAUGGGACUAUUAUGCCCAGCAGGGUCUUUGUACCUGCAGAGAUCUGGAAAUCCCAAAUUCGUGGUCUGGUGAACUAUGGCUUUGGAGGUCUGAUCAUUAGUGAUCAACAGAAAUUAGAUGUUUUUUAAACAUUUACAGUGCAAUGAAUGGCUUUUCCUUCAGUCUUGUUUGGAUACCUUUCGGUCUGAUGAAGAUUCAACAAUCCUUUGCCAUUCAUUCCUUUUGAGAAGAGAAGAGAAAUAAUGCUGGAACGUUUUGAAUAGUUUGUAUACUAUAACAAUAUAACAAAUGCACCCAUAGUAUCAAUCCCAGCCUAUAUUGGAGUUGGAACCAGAAUGCAAUGGAUACUAUUACCAGAAAAUAAGAAUUAAAAUAUUUAAAAAAAAAAUUAGUGUUGGAAAAGGGCAUCUCACUUUUAAGGAUUAAACCAUUGGAAAUCAAAGGAACAAGAUGAACUAGGAUUCAGCACUGAUUAAAUGACCCUGGUCAGAAGCAAAGGUCCCAAGUCCCAAACUAUUGGUUUGUGCCAGACGGUAAGCACAAACUGCAGAAUAAAUUAUGAUAAAAAUGCUUAAUUUCCUACGGCUGCUAUGGAUUUUGUAAAAAUAACAAUUGCAGUUGCUGAAGCUCGUUUGCCCUUCUAUGACCCUCUGCUUAUUUAUUUAUUUUCCAUUAUGCACAUAGAAAGUUCCUUAUGUACUGCUCUAACAGGCUUGAAGAAUUGUCAUACUUCCUAGAUUUUGUAUUGCUUGUAUGGUUAAUCACAUCAAGAAAUUCAGUUAAUAACCAGGGUGAUUUAUAGAUCAUAUCUUGAAGGUUACCAUGUGUUGAAGUCAGAAUCAUGUAAACGAGCCUGUGGCAAACCUCACAUUUAUGGAUAGACAGCCUAAAACCUAUAAUGGUCCACCUUCGACUUCUAUCCAACAUCAAUUAAGGCAUGAUUCUUAUUCACAAGGCACGACCCUUGUGAAUGAAGCUACUUUUUCUCCACAUGUUUAGGAUACCAUUAUGGCUAAUUAUUAUGUUUACCCUUGUAUCCUUGUUUGCUAUUUAAAUGUGCUGAGGAAUGCAUAUGCAUAGACUGCAAACUUAUUAUGAGAUUUAAUGUGGAGUUGUUAAUCAUAAAAAAUAUAUUUAGAGCUGGCCUAAAAUGGUGCAUAUGAGAUGGUAGAAAAGUUUGCUUCUAAACAGACUACUAGGUUUAUAUGUUACCUCUUAUUUCUUUUUGUGGAUGAAAAUAGUUUACGUUACACCAUUCGCUAGAGUAGUCCAAUUGGUCAAGGUUGAGAAGGGUGGUCUCAAUAAGUAGUACAUGGUCUUGGAUUUGAAUCCUGUCAUUGAUGAUACCUUGAAUUUCCCGGCGCUAGUUGUCAUUUCUUUCCUUAAUUUAUCUUGAUAUUUUGAUGUUGAGAUUUUCUAGUAAAUUCCUUCCCAAAUGUUUUGCAUUUUACGGGUGCCCAAAAAACACACACAUUGAUUAAAAAGCCUCAAUACCCCUUUAGUCAUACUUCAGGUCGUUCCAGAGAUUAGUUGGUAUUUAAUUGAACUUGGUCUUUUAAUGAGCUCCCCGUCCUUGAUGAAGGCUUUAUUGCACUCAACAUAUUGUCAUGUGUUUCUCAAAUGGGCCAAUUCUUGUGAUUAGAUGUUUUUUCUUUUGGAGCUUUCAUCUAUCAAUCCCAGGCUUUAGAGGUCAAAUAAGGGUUUAUCUAUAUCUAAAGAAGUUGGAUUUAGUCUUAAAAUUAAUUUGACAGUAAUUUUAGAAAAUAAUUUUAACUUUUUUUUAUUAUCAAAACACUUGUUUUCAAGUAAUAAAAAGAUUAAAAAUGCUUCUUAGGAUUAUUUUCAGACAAACUUUUGAAACAAGUAUCAUUGUUUUCUUUCAAACAGGCAAGGAUUCAUGAUUCAUAGGAUUGGAGGGUGGGGCUUGUCCUACCAUGCUAUUUCAUUACCUCCUCCAGACCUCAUCAACAAACCCAUAGGCUUAGCAGAUAUCAUAUCAACAUCAUCAAAGUCAUAUAUGGAUAUAGUUGCUUCUAAUGUCAUGAGUCUCUCUUUGUCCCAAGCUUUCUUGUCUUUUCCCUCUUUCCCACGCUAAUCUUUUGAGUUUGUUACCUGCUACCAUGUUGGCCAACUUGUGAUUUUUGACCGUCUCCUAAUCUCGGAAUCAUGUGGACGUUGCUUCUACUCCAAACACCUUUCUCCCCACAAUCUCUAGUCUAUAAAAUAUGGAUUAGUGGACAAAACACAUCUUUAUGCCAGCCAUUGCUUCACCAUUCAUCAUAGUUCUGUUUACUAAUAUUAUAAUUUGGCAUGCCCAAUCAUGUGAGCCCAACCGGCUUCUCGUGAUGUUUUGUCUGAGAUGCGUUUCUUUUUCUGAACCACAGAUGACCCCAAAGGCUACAGAAGGGCACGCUUUUCUUCUAUGUAUUUAUUAUGAUCCCUUCUUUUGUGUUUUACAAUCCUAGGAUUACUAUUUGAUUUAAAUUAAUACCAAUGUUUGAAUACAAGGCUGCUUACUGCCUGGCUUUUUAAUUACUAUGAUCACUGGAAGCCCCAGUUGUGGUGAAAUCCUAUGAUAAUAAUUCUCGUACUCCUUUUAGCCACGUGGCUUUUUCACUUUUACUGUUGGGCUUGCUUAGUGCUUUUGGUUCAGUGUUUGAUAUGCUCAAUUUUAAUGUUGGAGUUGGUGUAAAUUAUAUAAAAAUUUAUAUCCUAGACCUCAAAAUUUAAACUUCCUUUUUCUCCACACGACCACUUUGUUUAGUGUGAAGUCAUUCUUAAACUAUGCUUUCCACCCUAUUACAUCAAAUCCCCCACAAAAAAUAAAGCUAAAGGAGUAGUUGGAUGCUGACGUGGCAAGUGCAUUACCAAUCAGUUUGCAUUUAAGUCUCCAGGUGGACACCGCUAUUCAUUACUUAAAUUGACUAGAUGCCGUUGCGUUGGGAUCCACUUGGAAAAAAAUAGAAAGGUUGGCUCUCAACUUUUGACUAGGGUGGUGGAUUUAUGGACAAAAUUGACCUCUCACAUCUGAAGCUUCUGUCACAUCAAGUAAGGGUAAUCUCGUCAUAAUAAAUUGUGUAAGGUGUGUCGUUUUCUCGAUCAUUCACAAAAUUUAAUAGAAUUGGAAUAUCUAGGCCCAUCCAAUGAAUCUCCCAAAAAUAAAUUCGAAAAAAUAAAAUUGUGUUUGGAUAAGAAAAAAAUGAUUUUUUUAAAGUGGGGGUGGUGAGCCCAUGCAAAUGUGUCUCUACUGUGUAAAGGUCAAGGCAAAGGCAGAUUUGUUGUUCUUUUGAGGCAAUUGGAGUGGUAGAAAAGUUUUUAGUACGUUGGUCUUUGUUUUUUUACCAAAUAGAAACAUUUUGGAUAUUCUUUUUUGAAAGAAAAUGGUUUUUGGAGUAUUUGUUUUAAAAAUACGAUGUUAAUUUUUACCUUUUUUUUUUUAAAAAAAAAUUCUAAAUAUUAUCAAAAAAUUAUUUUUGGAAACUAAUCACAAAAAAUUAUUUCGCUUUUGAAAAUGUUCCAAACAAAUACUAGAUAUUUCUAAAAUAUUUUAAAAUUAAUUAAUAGAUUCUUAAUAAAACCAAAUAACUUUUUCUUUUUAUUUAAAAAUAUUUCACAAGUAUAAUUAAAAAUUCAAAUAGAAUAUAAUAACUCCUCGUUACCCCAUCACUAGAGUGACAUUGUCCCAUUACUAGAAAAAACAAAGCGUUCUCUUGUUCCCCCUCUGUUCGUGGGGUCCAUUUCUAAUUCAGUCCAAAUUUCGGAAACAUUUAAUAAUUAAUAAUUUUGUUGCCAUUCAUUUCAUUUAAUACGUGGCCCAAUUAGAAAUGUUAUAUUCUAUAGCCAAGUUUCUUCAAAUUUACUAAUUAUUUCUUUAAUUUAAAAUAUUAUAAUAAUUAAAAUUUAUUUUAAAUAGGAAAUUUAACGCGUUUAAAUAAUUGGAAAUCAUAGCUAAAAACCAAAAAAAAUAUGUGUUUGGAGCGCACUAGCAACAAGAUAGGCGCCGAUCAAAUCAGCCAGCUGGGGUCAAAAUCAAGUAUUUCAAAGUCACCAUGGUCAAAGGCUCUUAGUGAUUUCGGCUUCGAGAGCAAUUAUAAAUCGGUAAAGAUUUUUAUUUUAUUUUCUUUUAAGGGUAAAAGUGAGUAAGCGUAACGUGACCGGGAACUACCGGUCAUUUUCGUCCACCGACAGACUUUCCCCGUCACCCGAAACUGCUACUCCGUACAGUCCAACCUUUUAAAUGUGUUCCCGCACUGAAAACUGCCAAAUCAUACAAUCGUUCUCAGGAGAGUGUGGGAGAUUAUAAUCCCGAAGAUUAUUUGAAGUUUUUCCCCGAGAAAGUGACGAAAAUCGAGGAUAGCGUUUUAGUGCUUGUGCUUCUUCUUCGACCUUCGGAGCAAAAGAACGCUUGGUAAGAUCAUUUGCUUUUUCUUUUUUGACAGAUUACGGCCUUUUCACUGUUUUCUUUCCCUGUUUCUUUUUGUCGGUGUCCUUCGUCUUUUCACUUCAAGAAUGGACUACACAGUAGAUGAUGCAUUGUUUUACGCUUCGAAGUCUUCUGAUCUGAACGUUUCUGCAUUCAGAUCUUGUCGUUCUCUGCAUUUUGAUUCCUUGAAUUUUGGCGAUUUAUUUGCUGUUGCUCUGUUUCGAAUGAUUUUAAAGGUUUGUUGACUAAUCUUGCUUCUACAUAUUGUUAAAGAGUUCUGGUCGAGUUUCGGUCACUAAUGUUGUGUUUGGUUGGCGAGAAAUCGUAAGAAAAUAAGAGGAAACUUGAAAUCUUACAAGAGCCACUUUCAUCUCUCUUUCUAUACUUUACCGGGAAUCUAGCGGAGUCUGAUCGUUAGAACGAUUGAGGGACGAGUUCUUUUAGUUUAGUGUAUGGCUAUUAAAAUUUUUGUAUGAGGAUUCAAUUUCAAUGGUUUUUGAAUCGAAUUAUAUGGUUUUAGUUGGACUAGUCUGUUCUUUUCUUUAUCUCCCUCCUUGGAGCAUAUAGUGGUGUGAAGUGUCCUUUGGAUGAGUUGGAGGUGUGGGUUAGAGAUUAUUCAUGCCUAUGUGAGUUCAGUUUUGCUCCAGUGAAUGGAUGGUUUAGUCCAGUCUUGGUCUUGCCAUGGGCCCUGCAGUUCAUCUGAGAUGACAACAUCUGAAUGGUAAAAUGCCGUUGAGUUGCUGGAGAGGAGAAUUUAGGAAUUCGAUGUUUCCAUGCUUCUGAGUGGUGAACAAUUGGUGGUUUCCUGUUAUCCAUGUUUGAGAUCUGAUUGCAUAAGAAUUGCAUAGUUCCAAUUUUUUUUUUCUCUGUUCGACUCUGGCUCUUAUAUAUGGUGUCAAGCAAAAUUUAUGUUUGUUCAUUGCAUCCAAAGAAUGGAACACAAAAAGAAGAGUUCCAAUGCAUUGCAUAAGCUUGAGGUCCUUUCCAUUAGAUUUGAAGUGGCAAGAUCAUGCACAGGGUAUGAAAAACAUCGGCCCAUAUUUUGUAAGCAUGAACUUCCCUCACCAUUUUCAGUGAAAGGGGAGAAAGGAAUAAUGAGUUGGUUGUGCAUCAUUUUCUUUGGUUCUAUCUGUGCUGACGAUUGUUCUUAUACUACUAUAUUUUUGUGGUUCCUCUGCAGUAGGCUAUGAAUUUUCUCCCUGUGAAACUCUUUACCGUGCCAACAUAAUAUUUUGCAAACUCAAGUCAAGUCCAACAUGUCUGGUUGUAAACAUCAUUUUUAGGAUUAAAACUUUGACUUGGUAGUAUCUUAUGCUAGUUGUUUCUUUGAAUUCUAACUGAGCUCCUUCAAAUAAAGUGCUCUACAAGAGCUGAAAAAGAGACCCUGAACUGCAUCAAGAAAAAUACCUGCAAAAAAAACUGAAUAUAAAGCUUAUUAUGCUGAACCAGAAUCCAGUAACUCGAUCAGUUAUUUGGACAUGGGUUCAGAACACUCUUUAGUUUACAUAAGACAUGUUUUUAACCUUGUAUAUUAUGCGGUCUAUGCCAACAGGUUUAAGGAGGUGCCUUGAGAUAUAAAGUCCUGUGAAAUGGUUGCCAAAGAGAACAAGGAUGAAAUUAAAGAUAACCAUUCUAGUGAUUUGGAGAAAGAGCCUAAGCCAGGAAAGGAGGAAGAGUCUGAUUCUGAAACAAGAAGAGAUUCGGUAUCAUCUCAAGGGGAUUCACAGACAGCUGACGAUGAGAAAGUAGAGAGAGCUUCAAGAGUUCCCAAAAGGAUUGCCAAAAAGGAUUCCUCUGACAACCAUUCUCAUGCAUCAAGAGUGAGAUCUGAUCGUGAAACACAUAAAUCACAAUCCAAGCCAUUACAUAACACUCCUAAGAAAUCUCCAAAAUCCAACAAAGGGCCUUCUAAAGUGACUACAAAAAAUUCCCCCAAUACUAAUUCUAAAAAUAUGAAAGUUCCUCCAAAACCCUCAUCAGAAUCAUCUGAAGGAAUUGAUGAUAAACCUAUUGAGGAGGUAAAGGAAGCAGAUCUCUUGGAUGGAGCCUCAAAUGGUGUUCAGAGUGUUGGAAGUGAUGAUGAGACAGUUGAUACUGAGGAAAAUGGUGAGCAUGAAGACAAGGUUGCUUUGGAUCAAAGGAUAGAAGAAAUGGAAAUGAGAAUUGAGAAACUUGAAGAGGAGCUGAGAGAAGUUGCUGCUCUUGAAAUUUCACUCUAUUCUGUGGUACCAGAGCAUGGGAGCUCAGCACAUAAGGUGCACACACCUGCACGACGGCUUUCUAGACUCUACAUUCAUGCUUCAAAGCAUUGGGCCCAACAUAAGCGAGCCACAAUUGCUAAAAACACUGUGUCUGGGCUUGUUUUGAUUGCCAAGUCCUGUGGUAAUGAUGUUCCGAGGUACGCCAAUUAUCAUGUUUUUAAGUCAAUGCUUUGGGAUGCUAUGCUCAAUUAUUGUAUACUGAUCUAACAAUGUUCUUCUUCCUUGUUUGUUUUCUUCUUUUCUUUUUCUUUUUCUUUUUCUCUUUCAAAAUUAAGGCUAACCUUCUGGAUGUCAAACACCGUUGUGCUGAGGGAGAUAAUAUCUCAAGCAUUUGGCAAUUCAUGUCAGUCUAGCCCAGUUGUAAGGUUUUCUGAGUCAAAUGGAAGUGGGAAGAAAAGUGACGGAACAUCUUUGACACUGAAGUGGAAGGGUAGUUCUGGUGGUAAACAAGUAAACAAACUUGGUUUUGUGCAAUUUGUUGAUGAUUGGCAGGAGACAAGAACCUUCACUUCUGCAUUAGAAAAAGUUGAAUCCUGGAUUUUCUCUCGGAUUGUUGAGUCAGUAUGGUGGCAGGUAAAAAAUACACAAGUUACUGUAUGAUUAAUGAAUUAAAUUUGAUCCAAACUGUUGAAAGUAAUGUAAUCUAACUAAAGAUCUCAUACCCAUAAGUCAUGCACGAUAUGCAAAAAAAUCAACCUGUUAAGUGACAUGCACAAUUAUUAAUAUAUAUCUCCAAAUAUGAAAAUAAGCAUUUUAUUUUUAUUUUGCUAGUAAAGUCUAUGUGUAAGUUACUAUUAUGUCUGAUUUAUAAUUAUAAGUGGCUUUUAAUGUGCUAUGUUCCUUAAUUCUCUCACUAUCUUAUGGUUUCAGACUUUAACUCCGCAUAUGCAACCUCCAGUUAAGGAUUCCUAUACCAAGAAAACCAUUGAACGUCUAUUAGGACCUGCCUUAGGUGAUCAGCAGCAAGGGAGCUUUUCCAUUAACCUUUGGAAAAAUGCUUUUCAAGAUGCCUUUCAAAGACUUUGUCCUGUUCGAGCAGGAGGGCAUGAGUGUGGUUGCUUGCCUGUAAUAGCAAGAAUGGUAAGUGCUUUAAAAUAAAAAUUUGCCUUUUCUAUUUUUAUUUUCAUUUGCAAAAGCAAUGGAGAAUAAACCGAAGACCAAAACUUUUCAUGUUUCAACUUUUUAGCAGGGCUGACUUGUUUAAGCUUUUAUAUUCUCUGAAGGGUUAACUAGAUGUUUCUGUCUGCAGGUAAUGGAACAGUGUGUUUCCAGAUUAGAUGUGGCAAUGUUCAAUGCUAUUCUACGUGAGUCUGCCCAUGAGAUCCCAACUGAUCCUAUAUCAGAUCCAAUUGUUGAUUCCAAGGUUCUGCCUAUUCCAGCUGGAGACUUGAGUUUUGGAUCUGGUGCUCAACUUAAAAAUUCUGUAUGUAUUGACUUACUUUACAUAUAUGUGGCUUGCAUAUUUUGUGUGAAAGUUGCUUUAUCUUCAUCCAAGGGGUAGUUAGUCCUCUGAUUUGUCAGCCAGUAUAGAAGAAUCCAGCCUUGAUUAACUUCUAGGGUAAUUGACAAACCAUUAUCGUGGUGAAUACAUGAAGGCAGAUCAGUUACAGUUAGCAACCGCUAUUGUAAUUCAUUUACUUUGCUUCUUUCUGGACAAAAAUAGUGGAAACAACUCCUGAUUUCUUUAAGAACAUAUGCCUGCCAUAAUAAGGGAAAAGAAGAUUUAAUUAGGGGAAAAAUGCUUUUAGUCAAAGACACCUUAGCUCCAUCACAAACAAGUGGAAAACAAAUUUUCUCCAGGAAUGAGUUCCAUUGUGACAAUGAAGCCUUCUUGGUAGAUAAUUUGUGGUUAAGUUGGCAAUUUAAAACCUUUUCAGCUUUUUUAUAGGCAAUUGAAAGCUUCAAACAUCUCAUUGUUCCACUAUUUAGAAUUGAUGGGCAUUUCAGGGUACAGAUUUAUCCUCUGUCAUGUAAUUGUUACUAGAAAAGGGGAGCUGUUGAAAAAAGGAAUCAUAUCCCAAAUGACAAUGGAAAAAAUGUAUCUUGGAUUCCCUCUUUAAUGAAAAUUCUGAACUUCCACAUUCAGAGAUUAUGUACACUCAUUUAAAAUGCUAUAGAAACAGAAUGGUCUCUUUAAAUCCUCAAAACAGUGAAUUUAUCUCAUUUUUAUGAGGACAUCCAAAAUGCCCUCUGAUUGUAAGAAUAAUCAUACACAUGUCAGCAACAGGUACAAGGAGUUAGGCAUUCAAAGCGUUUCUAGGUUUAUAUCAUCUAUGGGAAGACCCUUGUUUUCUAUGGAAUGAUCAUGUUUACAAGUUUUAAAAUCACAUGGAGUUUGCUUCCCAUGCAGGUCGGAACUUGGUCCAGAUGGCUUACUGAUUUGUUUGGUAUGGAUGUUGAUGAUUCCCUGGGAGAAGUUCAGAUCAAUGGUGAGGAUGGUGAAAGCCAGGGUGGACAUGAUGAACCCAAAUCGUUCCAUCUUCUUAAUGCCUUAAGUGAUCUUCUGAUGCUUCCAAAAGACAUGCUAAUGGACCGAUCCAUUAGAAAGGAGGUUAGCCUUAUAAUAAUAUACUUUCAUUCAAGACAUGUAAUAUUUCCUUGCUGCUCCUCUAACUUGAUGCAUUUUUUUGGUUGUCAUGUUUUUAACAUGAAAGGUGUGCCCAUCAAUCAGCCUUCCAUUGCUUAAAAGAAUACUUUGCAACUUUACACCAGAUGAGUUCUGCCCUGAUCCUGUCCCAGGAGCUGUGUUAGAGGCAGUGAAUGCUGAGGUAGAUUUUGCUUACCUUUGAAAUCUCUUCCAGAAGUUUUUUAGGAGUUGAGUAGGUACACUAAAAUAGUACAUUGGGCAAUUAUUCAAUAUUCAUUAUUUUGUGGAUGCUAUUAUUUUGUAAUGGCUCUUCAUAAACACCAGAAGACAAAACAAGUGGAGUUCAAAAACUUAGGUUGGGGUUGGAUUUUUUGGUCUAGGUUUGAGUUCCAACAGAUAUGAAAGAAAAUGUCAAGGGAAAAAAAAUGGUUUGGAGUUUCAAUGAUUUUUUACCCUUUUUCUGAACUUAUUGUGGGGAGAAAAAUAUUUCCAAGUGGCAAUUAAAAACCAGAAACAUCAACAAUUAAUCACGGUUCCAGCUCUAUUAAGGGUGGCCAUUUAUUGUUCUGUUCCAGCUUUUCAGAUUCCAUUUGGAGAAUAAAUGAUGUUCUAAUGGAGGACUGAACAUUUAAAUUGGAGAUUUUCUAUGAUAGGUCACUGAUGAUUCCCCAUGAAACUUUCUUGUCUCAAUAAUAUGCUAUCCACACCUUUACUGAUGGAAAUGCCACCUAGGCCUAUCAUCUUCUGCUUCUGUUUCUAAACAUAAAAAAUUUCAGAAUCUUGCUAUGGCCGAUUGAAGGACAAAGAUGCUGAAAUAGAUGGCUGAUCCAUCGCUAUUUCAUUUUUCCAGAGUAUUGUAGAGCGAAGAUUAUCAGGAGACUCUGCCAGCAGCUUCCCAUAUCCAGCUACCCCUGUUCUGUAUGCUCCUCCUUCCUCUGCUGACGUGGCAGAGAAAGUUGCAGAGGCAGGUGGGAAAUCACAAUUGGCGAGGAAUGCGUCUAUGGUACAGAAAAAGGGGUAUACCAGUGAUGAAGAACUGGAGGAACUGGAUUCUCCCCUCACGUCCAUCAUUGAGAAAAUGCCACCAUCUCCAUCUGUUGUAAGAAACGGAAAUGGAAAACACAGUGAGGAAACAGGCCAUAAUGGCUUAAAUGCAAGGUAUGAACUCCUUCGUGAGGUUUGGUCGUCGUGAAUGGUGCUUGUGAUUACAUUAAUACAUUAAUCAGUUAUGCUGCUGCUGUUUGCAUCAAAGAAUAUCAUGAAGGGAAUCGCAGGAGGAUGUUCUCUAAUGCGUCUGGGGAGAUGCUCUGUUGUAUAUGUUAUAGUGUUACACAUAUAGAGAGAUUUUGUUGCAUUCAGUAAAUUAUUUUUCAGUUAUUUGAAAGUUAUACUUGUAUUCUUAAGAAAGAUUCUUGUUGUACUGCUUCUCCAUGGAAAAAAAUUCCUUAAUCCUUGUCGUAGAUUGUUUUAUUUGUAGCUCAGUGCAAAAUUGCAAAUUGCAAAAUCCUGGUGCCCCUGGGGCUUUCUCAGAACAUGGGCCAAAUUGGGGUUUGGGCCUGAUGAAAUGGGCUGGCCCGUCAAAUAGUUAUUUGGUGGACAGCCCUGGCCGUGCACCACUGGAUGUGGAUGGCCCACGGUUGCACCUUUGGCCUUCUGGCUUUAGGGAAGCUAAAAUCCAACAUUUUGAUUGAUGUAUUGAAGCGUUGGGUUUGUUCUCAGUAGCAAAAUUAACUGCGAUAUUUUGAACUUCUGCCUCCAGAAUCUCUCUCUCUACUGGUAUUAGAAAAACUUCUGCCUUUCUUGAGGUUCACCCGCCCCUGAUAAAUUGCGAAAAUUAACACACCCAAAGAACGUUGCAGGCAGUUUUAAUACUAUGGAUGCUUGACCGUAAAAAUCCAAUGAGCAUGAAUCAUCUUCAUUCGAGAAUAAACUAUUAUUUCAUACUUGUAAUCAUUCUUCACCAUAGGAAAGUUAAUGAAUAUUAUCUCAAACAUCAGCGCACAAGGAAAAAACUAAUUAUCAACUCUUUUACAAAAAUUCAAGAAUGAGGCUUUGCCCUAAUUAACCCCACCCUAUGGUAUAGGGCUUAAAUCCGCUACUCGCCUCCACACUAUUGGCCAGAGACCUUCCAAACUGAGCUGCAAGCUGGGCUUUUCGAGCAUGGAGGACUCCUCACAAAUGGAAUAUGCCCACUUCAGGAGGUCCAUUGUAGACAUGAUCUGGUUUGUGGGCUUCCCUCUUUGCCUGUUAUCUGCAUGUUUGUCAGAGAGUUUGCAGAUAUUAGAGAAAGUGGGAGGUAGAGCUUGAAGACGAAGUUUUUUACUACCUUCCAUCUUCUGGUUUAAAGUUGAAAGAACUGGAGAGGCUCAUACCCAUGCCUAAGCUUCUGCAAUGCCUGAUAUUUUGGAGUUUAAUAUUUAUAUAUAUAUAUAGGUCAAGUUUGAGGAGUUAAUAUUUAUAGGAAAACGAUUGAACUCAACUUAAAAUCUUUAAUCAUAUGACAUAUUAGAAAUUUUAAGUUCUCAAAGAAGUAUUAUAAUGAAGGUUCAUAUCUGGUCACAUUACUCAGGUUCAUAUCUGGUCACAUUACUCAUACUUUUCGAUCAAUUUUUUCAUAACCUUCACAUUCUACAUAUCCCGAAUCUCUUAAUACAUAUUUAAGUGACCUUGAAGUUAUACACCAUUAAUAAAAAGUGAUAUUAUGUGAAGACUAAGGUGGUGUUUGUUUUUUUUUUUUUGCUUAAUUUUAAAUAGAAAUUUAAUAUUUAAUAAUGUUAAAUAUUAUGUUGUUUGUUUUUAUAAUAUUUUUUUUUAUAUUAAGUAUUAAAAAGUAAAGAAAAAACCAAUAUGUUAUUUUUUUAUUUAGAAAAAAUUAAAUAUUUUGACUUUUUUAUUCAGAAAAAAUUUUAUAAUAAGUUAUGAAAAGGUAAAAAAACAAACAACCUAAAUUCUGAAAACAAAUUGCUUUCAUUAAAAAGUCAAAAAAACAAACAACCUCUAACCCUUAUAUAUUAUACUUCAGUCAUAAAUGGACCGCUUAAUUAAGCAUCAUAUCAUUAUAUAAAGGUUCAAGUUUAACACUACCCGUAUAACAAGCUCUAUGUCAUGAAAUUACACCAGUGUGUUCAAGUGUAGCCACAUAAUCUUUACAUAUUGAGACCAGGACGGCUUGGGUCUGCUGAGAAACUCUUAACUGAGCUGGAAGGGACAUCAAACUCAGUUUUGUCUGCUGGAAAAUCUUCAAUCCACCAUCCAUCUUCUGCAUUUUCCGGGGCCAAGUCUUCUCCAACAGUAGUUCCAUUUGUUUGCACCACGCCACCUGCCAUAUCAGUAGAAUUAUUUCCAGUUACAGUCACUGUUGUAUUCCCCUCCAACAUCCAGCUCCUCCGCCCGUUGAAAUCGGCGUUGGUUCUGGUUCCCCUUGCAGGGCUAGUCAAUCCAUCAAAGAAACCAGGGCUGGGCUGAGGAGGAGGGUUUUGGAUACCACGGAGCCCGAAGAAUCUAGGGUUUUGCUCCAGGGCGUCGAGGAAAAAGUUUUCGUACUGCGGGGUUGGUAGGGUCUGAAACUGUUGAGAUGGUGGCAAUGGUGAAAUCCCCCUCAUAAGUCCAAAGCUGUAAGUCUUACCAGCUCCGUGAAUAGUAGAAAAUCGCCCCAAAUUCCCACUGGUUGUCAUCCCACUACCAGUGCUAGUAAACCCAAGAAAAUUAUGGAUAGGUUGAAAGUUAGGGUUUUGGUAGCCACCAAGAAGGAAGGAGCUAGGGUUUUGAUCCUGGACCUGGUUGAUACGACUGUGAUUUUGCCGGAACCGAAGAUACUGGUUCUCUGGGGCUGGUUGAAUCGGCGUUUGUUCAACUGGGUUUAGUUGCUGAAUCCCACUACCAAAUCCAUGGGCAGAAUUGGGGUUGGUUUGAAAAUUAGGGUUUUCAUGGGCACGAAGAAGGGAGGAGCUAGGGUUUUGAUGGUCUAGAUGUUGGCCAUGGUUGGCAGAAGUGUAACUCCGAUGAAAUUGAAGAUUUUGCUGUCCCGGGGCUGUUAGAUUCUGAAUCUGCUCGUCAGAUGGUUGAACUUCAGGGUCAGGCUGGGGGCUUCUCGAGUUUCCAUCUUCCGGCACGUCCGGUACCUUCUUUGCCUUCCUCUUUGAAAGAACUUCAUCCACUGAAGUAUUUUUUACGUACUUUGAAGCACCUUCACCAAUCGGGAGCUUAUUACUUGCCAGUAUGCUCAUGACAUUGUACUGACCAAGAUCAAAAUUGGUAAUUGCCUCCAUGCCAUUAAGCCUUAUCGAAGCAAUGUCAUAAGCCCUAGCUGCUUCAUCUUCGGUCUCUGUCAGCACAAUUGAAGAUUGAAUACUCAGAUCAGUAAGGCAAAAGUGGAAUCACCCCAACAUACUCAAGUGGCAGAGGGUCACUCUCCACCAAACAGUUGAGAUCAUUUGAGGGUUUUGAGCUAACAGUUAGAGUCUAAGUCCCACCAAGGUAGAAGCUAGAGCUAAUCAAAAUAUGUGAUCCAAGAGGGGAAGGACUUACUGAAUGUCCCUAAGUAAAUGCCUCGCAAUCCUUUGCCUCUACCUAACCUUGCUUGCCAUUUCUCGCCGUCAGCAUUCCUGUCCCAAUGCUUGGCCAUGAGAGACAGAAGGAGAAAACAUGAGUGAUAGGAAAGAGGAGAGAAAAAGACAGAUACUUGGAAACUCCGCGAUAUUGAGAGGCGCCUUUAGCAAAGCCCAUACUUGUCCUAAAAUUCGUUUGUUUCAAACUAUAGUUAAUAUAUAUGGUCUCCACAAGAAAUAAUUUCUUUGCAUUUCAAGAAAAUAUAAAGUAAAAAAAGUGAAAAAAAAUGUAUAAAUCAGAUUAUACAUACACGUUAUAUAUAUAUCCAAGUAAAUGCAGUUGUAAUUAAGGGAUUUCAAUGGAAAUGAAUCAAACCACACACCAUUAAUUUUGAUAGUCUAUGAAAGAAUGGAUUAAGUAGAAUCUUACCUUCUAAGGGCUACCAGAUAAUCUUUUUUCGACAUGUCCUUCAUCACCUCCAUUUCCUUCUGAUAAUUACUUAGCUGCAAUGAUACAAGUACAGAUUUAAAAAAAUUUGUCACCCUUGCUAAGUAUAAAUGAACUCUCAUACCAACAUACUUAAGCAUCCAAAUCAUAAAUCCAGUCUGGGUCCAUCAAUGUUGAGAACCAUACCGGGAAAUUUGUGGGGACUGAUCUGCCCCAGAACUUAAUGGCAGCUAAAUCAUAAGCCCGAGCUGCCUCAUGUUCUUGUCGAUAUACACCUGCAGAAUGAGAAAGAGGAAUGAGAAACCGUUGGUGACCAAAAACUAUGUUGUGCUGUCUUAGUGGGAGAACUGUGUUGAAGAUUAUGAACUGAAAAUUAAUCUUGUACUUACCAACAUAAACUUCCAGAUGUGAAGCAAGCAACAGAAACCAGAUGAGGAAAGAGAAGGGAGUUAGUAAUAUUCACGAGAGGAUUCUUAUAAGGUGAAGGAACAAAACUUGGAAAGUAAAGAACAACAAAUAAUUAAUUAAUGAAUAAAAUAUUUAAAUGAACUCAGCUACCUGUUCUUCCUUUUCCUUCAUUGUCCCACAGAAAUGCCUCAUAGUGUCCUGUAUGCUUAUAUCUAUUUUGGAGGGAAAGGAAGCAUUUGCAGGUGAGAGAGCGGCAUAUGUUUUUUCGAAAACAAUUAAAGAUAGACUAACACCAUAGACAUAGAAACAAACCUACUAACUCCUCGAUAGCGGGGGGUUCUUUCUCCAAAAGCUCGCUCUGGAGCUCUAGAACGGCCUCUACGUCGAGACACCUUAACUGAAGACUUGUCCUUCAUGCCCUUUUUCUUCUCACCACUUACACUAUUACAGCUGCUUGUGGAGAUUUGUUAAAAAAUAAAAACAUUGAAAAUUAUUAUGUUAAACAAUAGAGAUGAGAUAGACCACAACCUAGCUUGUCCUGGAUGUAUUGCAUCAGUACUACUGGUUCAGUUGGAUUUUCUGGGCUUCCUUCAACAAUGCCUAUAUUAUUAACCCUCCCAGUACUCUUCUUGCCAUUCAAAUCUGUGUGAUCACUUUCCAUGGAUAGAUUAGAUCAUUUCCCAUGGUAUUAUUAUGACUUGAAUCUAGGGACUUCUGCAGAGGAUAUGUUAUUAAUAUACUACUGCUAAUUGGAGAAAUAAUUAGAACAUGCACCAUUUUUAUUUUGAGGAUCCUGAAUUGAACAUUAAUGUUCAAACAAUAAGAAAGCAAGUUUACAAAAAAGGAUCAAUUCAUUUUGGCAUAGAUGAUAAUAAUGCACGCGUCAUGGAGCGGUCAAUUAAGGUUUUCUAGUUCAUCUUCUCACAAUUGUGCUGGAAUGAUAAUGGCCCGCAUCGCGACAUAAAGGGGCAUGCAUGUCAUAUAUUAGGGGGAAUAUACUUCGGUUCCACGCAGCAAGACGUGGCACCUUGCAAUUGCUAGAACUUGUUCUAGCAUGCAUGACCAUGGAUUAGCCAGUUCCUAUUUGGAAUGUUGCAAUUUCUUGAUCGCUGCCAUUUUCUACGUACUACAUUACAAAUAGUGAUGGUAAGUAUGAUUAGACAAUCAACAUAAUGAGAAGAAAAUGAAAAAAGAGUAGGCCACAACAGUGGGAAAUCCUCUGAAGAUAUCAAACAUGGAAGCAUACUGAUCAUCAAAGGCACAGAACAAUAAAAUUUGACAAACAUAAUCAAUGGAGUCACUUGUAUUAUAGUAAUAUAUGAUCCUUCCCUAUCAAAUCAAUCAUUAACUAAACCAAAUUAAUUAAUGAAACUGUCUUUAAGUUGGAAAUAUAUAGAAGCUUAAAUUACAGAAAUGGGAUACAAAAUGUUUGCAGCUACUACAUUGAAAUUAAUUUCCAUAUAUAAGGGCACAAAACAUAGUACUGAAGAAGGUGGCCUAAAAAUAUUACCCAGUUGCACCACAGUUAUAAUCAAGCUUCUUUCAUCUUAAUUUACAAAGGAUAUCUACCAAUGAAACUAGCUAAUAUCAAAGUCUUAUAACCAUAGAUAUCAUUCACAACUCGUGAGAACUACAAAUUAAACUCACAUAAAAGCAGCUGUAAAAGCAAAAUUAAAAGAUACAUGGAUUACUGCUUACGCUUAAAGCAACCUAGCUCACAGUUGCAGCCAUGGGCAUCUCUCUUUGAUCAUCAAACAGAUACCUGAAAAAUCAAAUAUACCGACAAGAGAUUUUAAAGCAAGAGAGAGUUAUUAUAUGCUGAAGAUCAGAACCAGUAGAGAUCUGAUAUUUUUCUUCCAUAUAUAAAUCCAUGAAGCAAUAUUUGGCAAAAAAGUUAUAUUAGAAUAUCACUUGACUAGUUAGGUUUUCUAAUCAAAUAAACGAAGCUCAUAUGUUGCAGAAGAUCUAACUCAAAUAAAAACUAAGGGCAAGAUAUAUAUAUAUACAUAUGUGCAUGAUACCUUCUUGUUACUUGGAGGGAGUCCCUAUCUUUCCUCUCUUUCUUCUCUAAUUGAAAACCUCAAAAAAAGGAAAUUAAAACCCAACAAAAAAACCAAGAAAGAAAGGGGGAAAAGCCGCAGCAAGCUCUCUGGGUGGCUAUUCCAAAAGCAAAACAAGAAAAAUGGUGAUGAAAUGAGGAAGAAGAGGAUACAGGAAAGAAGAUAUCUUCACUCCAUUAGUAUCAACACAUGGCACUUGAGAGGCUUGUCAACCCCUCCUUUUUCUCUCCUUUUCUCACUCACCAGUACUCCCAUUUUGUCACAAUCUAUCUCAGUGGAUACGACUCAUUAAUCUCUUGUUUAUCUCUUCAUUCAUUUUUUGUCACAACAUAUCACAGCUUCUACACUCAUUUCUCCGUGACUUGGUGCAGUCUCUUCCAUGGAUGCAGUGGUUAAUAACUCUAGAUUUCACAAAUCAAUCAACUCAUUUCCAAACGGACCUCAGCUUGCCACGUCAUCAAAAUGGGGUCCACUCAUCCACCAACUUUGUAUAAAAGUCAAUGGUCAACGCCUAUGGGUGUUUCUUGUUAGUAUCGAUACAUGCAACCUUCUUCUUAAGUGGGGUGUAUAGAAAUGGAUUCUUCCCAAACCCUAGCUAGUCCAAUUUUAGUUGUCAUUUGGUUAUUGUAGUUUUACAUUCCAAACAGAGUCCAAGCAAUAUAUAAAACAACAUUUCAAGAUAAUCUUAAAAAACAAAAAUAAUUCUUUUAAAAUUUUUUUAUAUAGUAUAUAGUUAUGAUUACAAUUGAAUUUUUUUAAUCUAAACAAUAUAUAAAAUAAAAUUUAUUAUAAAUUAAAAUAUAAAAUUUAUUAUAUACAACUGACAUUUUCAGGACAGAAAAUAUUUUUUAAAAACCAUUUUCAUUUGUGAUGUCAACUGACCCAGAAUAAAUAGAUUGGGCCCUUGUAAAGUUCGAGCCCAAGCCUUGGAUAUAGCUCCAGCCAACCAACAUUUCUUGGGUUGAGCAACGCAAGGGCCCAAACUCGAUACCCAUUCAACCUUAACGUUGAAUUGGGCCAGUCCAAUCCAACAAAACUCACUUUCAAUCAAAUUCAGGGAAAUUGUAGAUGAUCAAGACCUACUGCAUUGAUCAUGUUCUUUAAUAAAAAAAUUUUAUACUAUGAUCACUUUCAUGAUAUCCUGGUCUCUAUCAUUCUUUCUUACUAUGAUGACAUUCUUCAUUUCUAGUCAUAUUCGUUGGACCCUCAAUCAUAUGUUUUUUUUUGUACCGUAAUCACAUAUUUCUUUUACUCAUGAUGACCCUUUUUUUUUUCCUAAUGUUUUUACAGGCCUCCAAAUGAAAUUGACCAACAGAUUUGGACUUUUGUGACAUCAAAGAUUAAUCCGGCAAAUCUCACAUCAUGUUUUCAAUUUUUUUUUCUCAACGCUCCAUACCAAAAUUCCCAGAAAAACCCAUGUUUUCACUUCCUAGACAAUGGAAUCCCACUUCACAUUUCCUGAGGUACCAGGAGUUUCUUUCACUGGGAAAGGAAAAACCCUAAAAUGGGAAUUCCGAUUCCAGGACGUAUUGGAAUGUAGUUUCCCAAUUCUUUUCUGACUAAAAAACAAAAAAUCCGUCUACAAGAAAGCAAUGUUUCUAGGGUGGCACCCAAGAGUAGUAUUGACAAGGAAAAUAUGUUGUAUUACUAUCAAUGAGAAUCCCAAAAUCAAAUUCUGCUGCAGAACACAGAAAACCAUUUCCAAACAGGUUUUCCCCGACCACCCCACUCCAACAAAAAGAGCCCUGUGGGUUCAAACCACCAUUUCCAAACAGGAAAAUUACUCCAAAAUUAGUGAAAUCAAGUUGGAUUUUUACAUAUAAGACAAGACAUUAAACUGAACUGGUUGAAGUGUGGUUUAGUGUUCAUCAGAUUGGAGCUGAUGAAUGCUCAUCUGAAGUUCCAAUGGACAACUCCAAAUCUGGGAUGUGGGGGUCUUUGAGCUGAGGGAUUGAAGUGCUCUCACAACUUCAAACAUGGUCGGCCUUUUCUCAGGCAUUACAGAGGUGCAUCUCAGGGCCAUUUCCAGAGCACCCAGCAUCUCUUGCUGUGAAGAGUUUGAAAUCUUGGGGUCAAGAACUUGGAGAGCUCCAUCGGUAAUGUUGAUUUUCCGUCUAACCCACUUCACAAUAUCAAUAGACUCUGCUGAUUCUGCUUGCUCGGCUUGCCGGCCUGUCACGAGCUCUAGCAGCACAACACCAAAGCUGUACACAUCCAUUUGUUCUGUGGCUCUCUUGCUGUAUCCAUUUUCUGCAUUUGAACAAUGAGGGUGGAUAAGAAAAUUGAGAUACAGAGAUAUAUAUACAUAUAGCAAGAAGUUUAUAGACGCCCAGAAGAUUUGUACCUGGUGCAAUGUAACAUGAGAAAGCAGAUUCUGAAGCCAUGGUCGAUUGAAAUGCAGUUUCUCCCACAAUCCGAUCCAGAGCGAAAUCCGUGAGCUUUGGUUCCAAAUCUGCAUCCAGAAGGAUGUUUUUGGACUUGAGGUUUCUGUGAAGUAUAUGUGGAACAUAGUCCUUGUGAAGAUAUGCUAAUCCUUGAGCAACCCCAAUGGCAAUCCUCAAUCUAGUACUCCAUUGAAACUGAAAAUCUGGUCUGCAUAUCAAAUCCCCCAAGCUCCCCUUCUGCAGAAACUCAUAUAUCAGAAAGAUAGAGUCACUGGAGUGGCAGAACCCCAGAAGUUUGACUAUGUUCUUAUGCCUGAUCUUGGCCAAUGUCUUUACUUCAUUCUUCAGUGAUUUUGAAGACUGGCUCCCAGGAUUGAGAAGCUUCUUGACAGCCACAAGCUCACCACUUGGUAAGCUUAUGAUGUAAACUCUACCAAAAGCUCCACCACUUCCUACCGCGCUUUUCUCAUCCAUUCCCAUGAUCAAGUCAUGCUCUGUGACUCUAAGGGGGUAGAAGAAAACUGAUCUCCAGACACCCAUUUGAGAUUUCCGCUGGGAAGUCCGAUAAAUCACAAAGAACCCAGCUGCAAUGAUCAAAAUUCCAGCACCAAGAGCCAGAGAGAUGAGGGCACAUGCUAAUUUUGUAAGACCACCAGCCUUAUGUAUGGGCUCAUCAUCAUAACAAGAAUUGGGUAAUCCUGGGCCACAAAGUUCCGGAUUUCCUUGCAGAAAUGAAGCCGGAAGGCCGGAGAUCAAAGGGAAUGGAACCUUUCCGGAGAGGUGGUUGAAGGAUACAUUAAAGAGAGCAAGUUUCAAGUUUUGAAGCUCCUGUGGAAUUGAACCAGUGAGAUUAUUAUCCGAAAGGUCAAGGUAAGUGAGCACAGGUAAUUCAGCGAGGGAUGCAGGGAUUUGCCCAACAAGACUGUUGUCCGCCAGAGACAAUGAGACUAAUUUCCGGCAUUUCUUCAACUCUGGAAUUAGACCAGAGAGCGAAUUGUGGGAGAGAUUUAUUAUACUCAUAACUGGUGAGUCACAGAAAUUUGGAGGAAGUUCACCAUAGAAGCCAUUAAGAGAUGCAGAAAAUCUAUAUAAGCUCCGGACUGACCCAAGGCCCUGAGGAAUUUUACUAGUGAAGCUGUUGUUAUCAAUCUGAACUUGCUCCAACUGAGCAGCCACUGAUAUGGAAUCCGGUAUUUCCCCAGAAAAUCUGUUGUUUUCAGCUCUAAUGAGCUUGAUUUUGGGUAAUGACCAUAACCCAUUUGGGAAAUCACCAGAAAACCCAUUGUUCUGAACUUGAAACCUCUCAAGAUUCAAGCACUCACUAAUGGAGUUGGGUAUUGAACCACUGAAGGAAUUUGUAUGGAGGCUGAGGUUUAUGAGGCCUUUUCCUCGGCAUAUGCCAGUGGGAAAUGAACCCAGAAGGUUGUUUUGUGAAACAUCAAAAGAUACCAAGUUCUUAAGAGAAGCUCCUAGUGUCUGAGGUACCCCACCAGUCAGAUUGUUCUGAGAGAGGUCCAAAAUGGUUAACCCCUGCAAGCCAGCAAAGGAUUGAGGAAUCUCACCAUAAAAACCAGAGCUUUGGAGUAGAAGCUGCUUAAGCUUCUCAAGCUUGCCAAUGCCACCAGGAAUCUCACUCACCAAAAAUCGAUUUUGAGACAAAUCAAGAACAAGAAGCUCAGUGAAAUUCCCAAAAACAGAAGGAACACUACCUGAAAGCAAGUUGCUUCCCAAGUUGAGAACUUGCAGAUUCUUCAGUGACCCUAUGGUUUCUGGGAUCUUCCCUUCAACGUGGUUUCUGCUGAAAUCAAGCGUUCUCAAUGAACCAAACUGAGAAAUUUGCUCUGGGACUGUACCCCAAAUGAGAUUGUUACUGAGAUUCAAAGUCUCCAAAGAACUGCACUGGGAGAGAUGGAGAGGAAUGGGUUGGUUGAAGAGAUUGUCAGCAAGGUUAAGGUAAGAGAGAUUGUGGAGUCCACACAGAGAAGCAGAGAUUUCCCCAGAGAGGUUCAGGCUCUGAAGGUUGAGAGAGGUGACAGAGAGAGGUGGUGUGGUGGUGCAGGUGACUCCAGUCCAGUUACAGUGGUGAGUCUCAGAAGUGUUGGACCAUGUGGAGAGAUACUUCAUGGGGUCUUCAAUGGAGGCCUUAAAUGUGAGAAGGAUCUCUGCUUCAGAUGAAGCAGAGGCCACGAUGAAGAAUGCGAAGGUCAAAGAGAAGAACAGAGGAUAUGUGCAGAAGCUAGCCAUUGGAUUUGGAAGAGACCGAGUCACUCUGAGAGAGAGAGAGUGAGAGAGAGAGAGAGGGGAGCUGGCUGGUUAUGUUGCCUCAGUCUUUUGUAUAUAUUAGUGAAGUGGGAGACUGUGACUCGCUCGGAAAGAAGAGGAGAUGUUGAUUGGUUCUAGGGCAUCUAUACAAAAUUGAUGCAGAGUCAUCAACAUCAUAAUUAGGAGAUCUUUUUUAAUAAAAGAUAGAAUUUAAGAUGGAUUGUCUUUUAGGCAAAGAAAAUUUCCUAAAUUCCAUGAUGAGAAAAUAGUGGGAAUUCCCAAAAACUCCAUAACAGUAACUUUGGAAAUCCCUAACCCAUAAUUUAGACUUGCAUUCUAAUCAAAUAUCAUCCAGGGUAUGGGAAAUAAUUACUUGUGACCUACACAUUUGUUGAUAUCCCCACAAACAAACAAACAAACAAAACACAAUCAACAACUGAUUUGAAAUGUUAUACAAAUCAAAAUGGACUAACCCAAUUUCCCUAUACCCUCAUAUUUGAUGUCAUCAUGAUUCAUGGUGGAGUUGAAGAAUUAUGGUAUUGGGUCAAGGCCACAACUUUUACCUAAAGCAAUUAAGCCAAAAAAAUGAGAAAGAAAACAGGGAAGGGAAGAGGGAAUGCACAACCCGUGAGCAUAUGUAGAGACAGAAAAGGGGGGAGAGAGAGAAAGAGGAGAAUGAAGACAAAAGUGGAUUGAAGUCUACUCCUCAUGUGGCAACGUGGGAUCUGUUUUCAACGCCCCUUCUUCUCUAACUUGUACAGAAGCUGGGUGUGUGGGGAGGAGGAUACUGUAAUAUUUACUAAUGUUGUUAGUGUUGGCUGUAGUGUAAAAUAUGGCUGCCUGAAAAUGCAGAGGAAAUGAAGGAUGGGGUGAGUGGUCACUUUCAAAGUUGAAUAGAGUUGUUUUCUACUCCCAAAAUCCUAGAAAGAUAACCCGCUUUCAACGCUGAGACGCCCCUACCAACCACGUAAAUCAAAAAGCCCAAAGGGGUCCUCUCUCCCCCCUUCUCUCAUCUCUCAUCAAUGCCUGCUAUGUUUAUUCAAUGAAUCCAAUGCUGUAAUUAUAGUGGCCCCCCCUACUUUUAAUCUUAUUCUUCUAUACUUGUUUUUCAUUUUUUGUUUUAUUCUCGUCUUUUUCAUUUUUCCUUUUUCUUUUGUUACUGCCAUGUUCUGAAUAUAAAAUUUGAAAUUAAAUUUUUUUAAAUAAUAUAAAGGGUAUAAAAAUUUAUUGGAUUUAUAUAUAUAUAUAUAUAUAUAUAUAUUAUAUUAUAUAUAUAUAAAAGAGAAUUAUUAAAAAUUAAUUAAUUAAAAGAAAUGAAAUAACUCCCAAAUUUAUGAAUUUUAACAUUUUUCAUAUUUUUAUUUAAAAAAUAAUUUAUUUUAGACAUUAAUAUUUUUUAUUAUUUUAAAUAUUUUAAAAAUGUUUAUUUUUAUAAUAAGAAAUAAUGAUAUUUUUAUCAAAAUGAAAUCAAAAAAAUGAUGAAAAGUUAAAUUUCAAAAUUUGGGUUUUGAACUAAACUUUUAACAAUAUAACUUAUUAUUAAAUAUAUUCAUUUGAGCUCUUUGCACAUACAUAUUUUUCUUGUUCUUUUUUUAAAACAAAAAAUGAAUUUGAAGAAAAAGGAAGAAAAAAAGAAAAUAAAAAUAAAAUUGAAGAAUGUGUUUAGGGUUUGAAUUAGUAAGGUUGAAAAAGAUAAGGAAAGUUUGGAUGAAGGAUUUUAAUAAUUCUUUAUAAAAGAAAUGAAUAAUUAAUAUUAAAACCAAUUUAAAAGAGACUUUUUAGGAAGAUUAGAAACAUUUCUCCAAACUUAAAAUAUUUUUCUUGUCAAAAUCUAAUAAAAUUUUAAAGAUAUAAAAUACUAUUUAAAUGAUUAUUAAAGUAAUAAUUGAUGAAUGUUGCUCUUAAAAUAAUUUUUUGUUAAUUGAUAUAUUAUUAAAAAUACUAAAAAAAAUGAUUUAUAUUCAAAAAAUAAUUAAUUAUUUAAAAAAAUAUUUACAACAAAAAGAAAUUCAUUUUUUUCUCUCUAAAUUACAAAUUUUCUUCUUUUUGGUCGAAAUGGGAUCCAAAACUGAACAAGAAAAUCAAACAAAAAAAAAGUGAACAGAGAAAAAGGUAAUAAAAAAUUAAUCAUUAAAUACUUGAAAAUUUAGGAAGCAAAAGUGAUUGUGAAAUAGGCUGUCGUCCACUGAGACAAAAUGGGAUGAGUAGUGAGUACAUUAUUCGUACAACAGUGAAAAAGUGUAGGUGAAAAUGUCAAGCUGAAGCCUGAAGCUUUCUCCAUAUGCUGACUUUUUUUUUUUCACCCCUGUUUUGACUUUUAACCGUAGAAAUAUUAAGAGUCCAGGACAGCUAUUAUUGCAGCCUUCGGCCAAAGAAAAAUAAAGAAAAUUUUAUGUCACUUCAUCUCUUAAAUGUUGUUCAGAACUCAAAUAAUUAAACAAAAUUCCAUCCCACACCCACAUGGCCCAAAAGCACAUCUAGCUUGUGCUUUUUUCAAAAAGAAAAAAAAAAAAGGCAAAAAUGAAAAAACUUUGUUUGUUGUGUUGCCUGCAUGCCAUGUUAUCCCAUUAUUCUCCACUGAAAUGGUCAACAUGUCAUUUACCCAUCAAAUAAUGAUCAAAUGUAACUGUUAGUGGUCACUUGUUGAGAAUCCAAUAGUCCCAAGAAGUGGAAUUUUAUAUGAUGGGAGUUUGUUUGGAUGGUCACUCAAGAAGAGUCAACCCUUUUCACGGAUUGAUCUUGCAGUUUGAACACAUCGAGCUGUGUUUGUAUGCCUUGGAAUGAUCAAACCCAUAUGCAAAAACCGUUUUAUAAUGUGGGUUUUUUUUUUUUUUUUUUUUGAGAAUGUGACCUAAUUGGAAGAUGUGUUCAACCCUUAAAAAUCGUCUAAAACUUUGGUGUGUAAUGGGAGUAUGGGUAUUUGAGUUGGUUGAAAUUUGGCUCAUUUGAUUUUUGUUACUUUCCAAAGGUUUCCUAAGCAUGUUCUUGGGGUUAAAACUUUAUAAAAGAGUCAACACCCCAAAUCAAGUAUUGAGAGAAAAAAAUAAAUAAACUUUAAAAUAAUGAAAGCAUCCAAGGAACCAUACAAGGAGGGAGUGUUGAGAGUUGAGAGAGAAGAAGAGAAAGAAAGGAGGCAUGGGUGUUUGUGCUAUUGUGUGUUUUGUGAGAUAUAUAUAUAUAUAUUCCCUAGAUGACAAGUCCCAACAAUGGGGAUUAUAAGAGAGGGCUUUUUGUCUUUGGAGAGCGAACCAGACAUGAGAGUGGUGGGGCUGGAUGGAAAGUGGGUGUAAUCAAAUUUCACUUAUGGCAAUGAGGAAAGCUAUAACAACAAUAAUACGCAGCAACACUAUCAAACCCACCAACACCAGUCACCACCACCCCAUGCGGCCAUGCCCCUUUCAGAGGGGACUCUUGACUCUCAGAGAGAGUGGGGUCGGUUUCUAUUCUCUUAAUUUUGCAAUCCAUGUUCCCAAUAAUCCCUUAAAGGGUCUUUUCAUUUUUUUGGGUGUGGGGCGCCAUAGCCCACCAUUUUUAUAGGGUUCUUUGGGUUUCAUGAGGUUGGCCCUUUCCCGAUUAGGCUUUACAAGAAAAGGAUGUAUAGAGUGAGGUUUCAAUUCAUAGUCUAUGCGAGGUAGGGACAACGAGUUGUGUUUUGGUUUGGACAAGUCACUCCAUCUCAUUUAUUUAAAUUUGUUCGUAUUCUUAUAAGAAAAAAAUAAAUUUAUACAUAUCUGCCCGUUUAUUUUUUUAACCUAUGUCCUUUGAAAAUACUCAUUUUGACUUCAUCUUCCACUAACCAUUCGAAACAAGUUAUUAACAAUUUCAGAAAAAUUCUGUGGGCUUUGAUAGGCAAACUGACCUAUGGGCCUGAUGCUGGACUGGCUUAUUGUUAGGGAAGGUGGAGCUUGGGCUUGUUUUUUACCCUAAAAUCUAAUAUGAUUGAUCUACGAGCUAGUUUUCUAAUUUAAAAAUUCACAGGCAAAUUUUUUAAUUACAGUAGAUUUUUAAGUAGAUCCAAAAUGUUUAAAUAAUACUUUAUAAGAAAUUGCCUUAAUAUUUGUUUUUUUAUGUCACAUUGUUAUAACUCGUUUAAAAUUACAUUAUUAUGACCAUAUUAUAUCAAAUUAUGUCAUUAUGACCUAAUAAUAUGAAUGACUAUUCCCAUAACCUAUCUCAACUAUAUACUAAGUUGGCCAAUCAUGAAAAAUGUUAAGAAUGACCAUUCCUAUAUGUGAAUUAACAAAUUCCAGAACUACAAUAAAGCAUUGGGAGAAACCAUAAAAGAAUUAAAAAGAAAAAGAAAAUACCACAUUGAAAAUGGGAAUUUUGGAAAGCUGCUCAGCCGAGGUGGUAGAGAAGUUUGAGAUGGUGAGAUGGACAUGAGUGGAAUUUGGAAACGAAAAGUCCCUCUUUAAACGUGAGGCGGAUGCCCUUUUUCUCUGCCGUCAUCCCACUCAAUAACACUCAUCCAUCGCCGACUCAUCAGUAUUAUGUGGCACUUGCAUGGUUGCCCACGAUUUUCCACCACCAAACUUGUCCAAAAUCCCCCCCUUCAUCGUCAUCAUCUCUGUUCUUACUGUGCCUGAUUGAGAUUACCACUUCCAACCUUUUCCAGUUUCCUUUGGUUUUCAUUCAGUUGUCUCGGCGACCAAACAGGAGGCAGGCUUUCACUUCAAUGCUCAAUGCUGAGAACACGGCUUUUAACAUCUUUUCAUCUCCAACUUGUAGGAAAAGCCAAAAACAAAAUUUUUAAACUCACAAGCUAAAAAUAUAUUGAAAUCACUAUGACUAUGAGAACAUUUCAAUAAGCUAUUAAUAUAUAUACACCCUCAUGCAUUUCUCACUGAAAUUAAAACUGCGGGGGGAGGUUUUUCAUCAACAGCCAUCCCUUCCAAUCUAGAACCGCUUCCAGAAGUCCAACUACGUGGAAUAAACCCAACUUUGUUUUGAACAGAAUCAAAAGAUUCAAACAAUCAGGAAGAAAAGGCAUAUUUUGGCUUCCAAUCUAAGCAUCAUUGCAAUAAUCAUUUAGAUGAUGUUUGUUUUUUUGACUUUUUGCUGAAAAUCAUUUAGUUUUAAAAUUUAGGUUGUUUGUUUUUUUAUUUUUUCAUGACUUAUUAUAAACUUUUUACUAAAUAGAAAAAGCCAAAAUAUGUGACUUUUUCUAAAUAAAAAAAAUAACACAAUGGUUUUUUUUACUUUUUAAUACUUAAUAGAAAUAAAAUACUACAAAAACAAACAACCUAAUAUUUAAUACUAUUAAGUAUUAAGGUUCUAUUUAAAAUUAAGUAAAAAAACAAACACCACCUUAGUAAGUGAACACCACCUUAGUAAGUGAGAGAGAGAGAGAGGGACAGAGAUGCUGCUUCCAAUUUGAAUGGUUCAACUAGGAAUCAAACAUUUUCACAAUAAAAAAUUUCAGUAUGAAUUUUGAUUUUGAUACUCUUUUUUUUUAAAUACAUUUAUUACCCGGGCGUCUGUGAAAUCCAGUCAAUCCAUGGCAACAUUGAUCAGGCCCUUCAGCACAUUAAGAAGGGGCAUUUCUUUAUCUUAGGAAAGAAAUGAUUCAGUAUUCACGUACCGGAACCCUGCUAGCAAAUAUACAAAGGUACUCAAGGAACAUUCCAAACUGCUUCAGGAAUAUACAUUUUUACCACAGGCAGAGAGAUCUUAUGGAAAACCAGUCAGUCAAGCACAUAUUUCAUAACACAAGUCACAAGCACAUAAAAUGCCUGCUCAGUAUAUUUUCCAACAUAAGAGAGGAAGUUGAGAAAACACAUUUGCUGUUCAAGGAAUAUUUUCGAGUAAUCACUGUGGGCCACAAGUACAUGGCUCUGGAUCCAUAUUUCAAACGCAGGUAACAAUGAAAGAUGUUGUGCCACCACCAUCACCAUACAAAUAAACCAAUAACCAUAAAGCAACAAUAUGUAUCACUCACACAACCUCACAAAAGCUUCAUUCACCAACAAUUAAUACCACACCAUAUUCAGUGGGGGCGAUGCCAUGGGAGGAAUCACACAGCUUUACAUCAGAGGGAAAAAAACAGUAGGAACUAUGGAUCAGUAUUAACAGCAAUUAAAUAUGAAGCCAUAAUCAUCAAAGAGAAGCUGCAACAAUUUACCUAAUUGGCUAAUUAACAGAUUUAGUUGAAAGCAUUUCAAACCUCCCACUUGAGUCCAUUACAUAAUUUUUUGAUUCUUAAAUCAUUAAGACACUUGGCAAACCUCUUGACCCAAAUGUUUGCAUCAGCCACCUAUUAACAUGUCACCCUUCAAAGUAUGAUUAAUAUUUAAGACAAAUAAAACACAAACUGAGAACACAAAUUGAUAUCCACAAAGUUACACUUAAAACAGGCAGAAACAAGCAGUCAUUUCCCCAUGUUUCUAUAAAUCAAAUAAUAUCUCUUGUGCACCUUCAAACUUAAACAGGCCUAAUUGAAAGAAGACAAUUUUGUUAGACCAUAAGUGCAUUUUGCCACUUACCACCCUAUUUCUAUAAUUCUCUUUCCUUGCUAAGGGUUCAUUUGGUUCUUGGAAAGGAGGGGGGAGCGCUUAAAAAUGGAUUUAAAUCUUAAAACAUUCUCUCAUUUUCAUUCUUUCUGAGAAAUAAACAAACCUAAUAGACCGAGAAGAGGGAUUUAAUGAAUUUUCCUCUUCUUCAUCCUCAAGCAGUAGUGUGUUAGAAAAUGUGAUACAUUUCAUAGCAUCAUCAAGCAGCAGUGUGUUAGAAAAUGUGAUACAUUUCAUAGCAUCAUCACCCAUUUAAUUGACGUGAAAGGCUUCCAUGAUACUCCACUUCUUUGUUCCCUACUCAUUUAAUCAGUAGUGUCCUCCUCAAUCUCAACCUUCACCAUGGGCGAGGACUCCAAGCCAAAAGAGACAAUUUCAUAGCAAUUUAAACACAGCACAAAGAACUUGGCUCUUGUAUCUGAUAUUUUUUUUCUUAGGUAAUUCUUUUUCUUUUUCCAUUUUUCUUGUCCCCAUUGGGACUUCAACUUGGAACCUCCCAUAAAACUUCCCCAACCCUUUACCACUUGAGCCAAGCCUGAAGGGCUCUUGUAUCUGAAAAUUUUAACAAACUAAUUAAUCACCAUUUUUCUACACAAGAUUAAAAUAGAGAAUCUCGAUACAAAAGAGCUUACAAGACUACUAAACUAGUGCAUUUGAUAUGAUAACAAAGCAUCAAGUAAGUGACAUUCAAUCACCCUAAAAAAGAGCAGUGUGUGAAACCUAGGAUCAGAGAACCCACAUGAAUGAUAAAACCAGAAUCUACCAAUAUAGUCCUUAAUUUUAUCUAUUAAAAAUUUCCAAUUAUACUUUACAAAUGAUCAAAAUAAAGCUAAAAUGCACAUUCUCUACCAAAAACCAAAGUCCCUUACUCCAAAUAAUAGAACCCUAGCAGGUGGAGACAGUGGACAAGGGAAGAUGCUACAACAGUCACAGGAACUUGUAGCUUUAUAAAAGUUCUUCACCCUGAAGAGAGCCUUGUAAAAAUAAUUUUGUAUCACCCAAAGCCCAAUUAAUAGUAAGAGUGCACAUUUUCCCACAUGCACCUAAGGAGGUCCUGAUCCACCCAAUACUCCCAAAACCAAAAUACAGAAAGAACUUUUGAAUGACCUAAACAGUUGAAAACAAAAAUUUUAUAAAUAUACUUCUUGAAUACUAAAAACUUGGAACAUCUGCAGAUCCUAAAAUAUCCAAUGCUUAUACAACAUCAACCAACCUGCUAUAAUUUCUGAGCAUCUGCUGAAAUAACCCACCACUCCUUGAAGAAACCUCAACCAACCAUCUUAUUUGCAUAGACCAGAUAACAGAAACCUAGAAUAAAACUAGAAAAGCCCAGUGGUGGAUGACACUUUGACUGCACAGUGGAUGUAAAAAAAAAAAAUUAACUUUGGACCAGAAUUAUUAUAUGGGACAAACAUAACAUAAAAAAUACUUGCUAAAAGGGAACAAAUAACUGGCACAUCACAUCAUCUCAAAUUCAGGUCUCUCCCCCCAUGGUUCCUAUGGAUUGCCCAGUCACGCUUUGAUUACCGUCUGAUUAGUAUAGUGCCUAUCCAUAACAGAAAAACCUUCUUAGAAUUGCAUCAGUGGAGUACCUCCAAUAAGUCUAUUAGAAGUAUCAGUGGGCAAAGAUAACAAGAUGCAUCUAUACUAGUAAAAGAUGAAUAAAUAUUCAUAAAUAAAGCCUAAAAAGGAAACAUAAAAGUGUAAUAGAGCCAAUAGAAGCAUAUACCAAAUCUACAGUCCUAGUCUGAACUGUGAUAAAGACAUCCAAAAUCCAGUAAUCCUCCAGAUGAAUACAAUAACAGGAACAAAAGAUUGAAGUAAAAACAUGUCGAUUUACAACCAGGAAAAAGAAAGAUUCACCAUUCGUAUCUUGAUGACAUGGUUCCAAAUCUAUGUUGAACACAUCAGUGAAGUAUGAAGUUAAAAAUGGACCACCACCAAGAGAAAAAAAUAAAGAAAAAAAUAUUAACACACAUAUAUGUAUUUCAUACUAAUAAAUGGGGCAAAUACCAUUUAGCAUGUACUACCAGAGAGAAUGCGUAACAAUCAGUUGAGCAAAAUACAAUGUAACCACAAAGAUGUUCAUCAAACCAGCACAAAUAAAGACUUACACACAGGAGCCAACAUACCAAUCCUCGCCAAUCAACAAGGAAUAUAGAGUUCUUUAGACUGCAAAGAUGCCCUCACUCUCACAACCUGAACCAUUUGUAUCAAUAAAGGACACCUAACAAGACAAGCAGCCAACUUAGACAAAGACACAUGGAUGACAAGAGAAGCAUUUUACUUCAGACAUAAACCAUGGUACUUAGAUUUUAUCGAGCUUUUCAGCUUUGACAACAGGGUUGGCUUUAGCAAUAGCAUCCCGUGCAGCAGUCCGGUAAUCAAAGGGGCAGUCAUGUUUGUCAGAGUAGCGAUGAACUGCACAAAAGAGGUUACCACAUUUGCAAUUGAAACCCGUUAAACCUACACGCUUUCGACAUGCGGUGCACCGAUUUGGUCCCUCCUUGACCUUGGACUCAAUGAUCUGGUUUGAGGAUGAGUCAUUGGAAGCUUCAGCAGAAAUGGCCUUCACCUCCACUGGUCCAGCUUGCACAUCCACGGUACCAGCAACAAUGGGCUCCUUUCCAUUGCCGCUAGAGCUUCCAUUCACAAUGCUUCCAAUGGAUGAUGCUGCAAGUUUGGCUUGUUCUUGCUUCAGGGCCAAGUCCUUGUGGCACUUGGAACACAUAUUCAUGGUGGCAGCACUCCCAAAGAAGCCACAGUUAUUAAUGCAAAGAAUUGGGCCUUCUGGAGCUUGGCAUCCUGUCUCAUCAUGAGACUCCAUCUUUUAACCCUCCUGCACAUCAUGAUCCCAACAUAUCCAGAUAUAAAAUGUGAGCCAAACCCAAAUACAACUAUGUAUGAACAAACAUGCAUGCAUUUCUUGCAUAAGAGCAUACAUAUUACAACUCACACCAGAUGUUAAAACUAAGACAAGAAGACAUGAAGCUGUCAAGAAUGAGCACUUGAGUAUAAAAGCAGACAAAACAUGGAUAAAGUGAUAUAAUUUUAUAAUCAUUCCCAAAUAAGUAAUGUUCACAAUUCUGAGUGGUAAUUAUAUGUUCAUCAUUUCUCCUUUCAAUUCAAGCAAAAUGAGAUCAUUUCAUGCUAGUUUCAAUACUAUGCUAAGAAAUAAUAAUAAUAACAGCAAUAACACAUGGAACAUAUUGUUUAUAGUCCAGACCCUCAACUCUAGUCUGCCAACAAAAAAAAAAUCCAAACCUUUCAUUUAAUGUAUAUAAAAAUAAAAAAGCAGGUUAGUAAUCCUGAUCUAUAACAAGAAGAAAAGGGUCCAUGGCCUCGGUCACAUCCAAUAAGAACCAAACAUGAACAAGAAGCUCGUCAUCUCAAAUAGAAAACAACAAAUCAACACAUAAAACGUAAAGAAUCCCCUUUAAGCAACAAUCUUAAUCAAAAUGGGUAAUAUUCCGAAUGUGUUGAUAAAACAUUUGGCCACAAUAUUACAAGCCAUAUCAUCGAAAAUUAACAAAGCCCAUUGACAUGAUAAAAAAUUCAGCUUCUAAAAUAACAAGCAAAAGCACAUAUAUAUAACAAGGAAAUCAUCACAAUAUUAACCAGUACAGCGGAUAUUCCAGAUGGGUUGAUUAAAAACCCUAAAUUCCCCAACCCAGCGAUGAAUUUGGCCCAAGCUGUACAAGUCAUAUCGUAUUAAAUUCAAAACAUGUAUAUCUAAUAUAUUGAACACACAUCUUCUAAUAACAUUCAAAACAUGUAUAGCUAAAUACAUCUUCCCAAACGUAUAUAAAUCGAAUUUUAAAUAUAUUUCAUACUGAUAUAUUUAAAAUUCGCAGAAGAUAGAAAAGAGGCAGGAGUAAAAACCCUAUGAGAGAGACAUAGAGAAACCCUCACCUGAUUGGUUAGGUUUGGCCGAUCUCGACUCACAAAAUCGAACCAGAAGAUGAUUCCUGGCUCAAUUUUAAAACCCUAAUUCAAUUAUUUAAAUUUAAAAGGACAAAAAAAACCGGAAUCAAAGUCAAAUCGACAUGAAGAAAUUUGAAACUGAUUUGAUGAGAUAGCAAAAGCUUAACCUAAUUGAGGAGAUAAUCGUAUAUAAAUCGGAGAAAUAGAGACCAGCAGGAGAGAGGAGGAAGGGGUAGAGAGAGAGAGGGGUUGGGUUGGGUUCGGAAAAUGUGUCCCUGGUUCUAUUUAAGACUUUACCUUUUCUUUCUGCCAACGAUCCCUUUGAACUGAGUCGGUGCUUUCUCAUUUCCUAACCUUCAUUCUCCCUUUAUUUACUCAAUUGCCCUUCCCUUGUAUUUUUUAAAUAUUGUAGAAAAAUAUUAAUAAAUAUAUAAUAAAACUUUUUGAAAAUUUGGAGGGAAAAUGUUAUAAAAAAAAAAUUAAAAAUAGAGUUAGGGAAAAAUGAGUUUCAAAUCAUUAAUUUUAACAAAUAUAAAAAAACAACUUCGACUUCUUCACUCAUUUAAAAAUAUUUUAAAAUAUUUACUCUUUUUUAUAAUCGAAUAAUUAUUUUCCAAAAAUUAUCAUUUUCCUUUAUAAUGUUAAUAACAUCGAUAGACAAAAAAACUGAAAUUAGAUUUAAUAAAAUAAAAAAAUUUAAAUAUUUAAAAAUAUAAUUAAAACUAAAAAAUAUAUAUAUAUUAACUUUCAUUUAAUUAAAAUACUCUCCCAGAUAUUAUAGAUGUCGAAAAAGAAGUAUAAAUAUAAUGGGAGUAAGUAUUUUAUUUUUUAAAAUUUUAAUUAUAUAUAUAUAUAUAUAUAUUUUAGUUUUAAUUGAAUUUUUUAUUUUUAACAUUUCUUAUUUUAUUAUUGAUAUUAAUUAACAAAAUUUUUAUUCAAUUUUAUUACAAAAAAUAUGAGAAAAUGAAGGGAUUUAUAUAAUAUAAUAUAUAAAAUCACUAUUAAUUAGGGGAUAAGAAAUAUCUUAUUUAUUACAUGAGGUCUUAGAAAAAUUUUGAUAAAUUAAAUUUGAAUAAUUUUAUUUAAUAUUAUUAAAUGGUAUUUAAGAAAAUAAUUAUUUAACUUAUAAAAAAUACAUAUAUUUUUAAAUAGAUGAAGAUUUUUUUUAUAUAUUUUAAAAAUUGUGAGUUAAAACUCACUUUUGUUAUACUUUUUCUAUUAUUUUUUAUAUAAAGAAUUAAAAUUUAUUUUCAAUUAUAUUUAAUUUUUUCACAAUAUAAAAAUGAGUAUAAUAUUUUUUUUUUUUUUAAAUCAAAUAUAGCUAAUUUUGAAACCUGCAUUUUAUUAGGCAAAAUUAUAUCUUAAUAUAAUUCAUAAUAAAAAAUAAUACAAUUUUAUGUGAAUAUAAAAUAUUUAUUUAUAGUGAUUAUUUAGGAAAAGGGCAAAUCGGGAAAAACCCAUAUAAAAUAAGCAGUUUUCUCCUGAAAAGGACAAAAUUGGGUAUAAUGUCUGUGGCAUUAUUAUUGAGGGAGAAGGAGUAAUGAUUUCACUUUUUUAAAAAUAAAAUUAUUUAACUAAUUAUUUUUAUAAAUAAAUUAUUUAUGGAAACAAAUUAUUUUUCAUAGUUUUAUAAAUAAAUGAAAAUUAUUUGUCAAAAUAAUUAUUUUUAAAUUAAAUAUAUUUCAUAAAUUUUCAAAAAUUUUAAAUAGUUUUCAUUUUUUUUUUUUUUUGGUGUGUGUAUAACAGAAGCGACAUUUCCAAUCGAAAUAUCUAUAAAUGGCAAUAUCUAAAUGGAUGAGAUAUUUGAUUAUUUUUCUUCGUAAGGUGAUAAUUUUUAAAAAAAUAUGAACAAUGGCAAGAUCAGAGCCGCUCAUCUUAACAUUUAGGGCCCACCUACAUGGACGGGCCAGAUGGAUCAAGAUCCACUAGUCGGCGGGAAAAGGGAAAGUGAAGGUAGAAAUGGCGGGAACUCAACAAAACCCUAUAAAUUGAACCCAGGUUCAUUCCAUCUUCGAACCUUCGGUCUUUCCUUAGAAAAGAGAGGAAAACCAAAAUGGGGAAGAAAAAGAAAACUAGAGUUUCUGAUAACAUCGCCGAAGAAAAAGAGUAUGUUGGUCAGUCUUCCAAAGAAGAAGAGUAUGUUAGUCAGUCUUCCACAAACGAGAGGAGCCUGUACGAGGUAUGUGAAAAUGUUUCCGAUCCCCAUUUUCAUGGUAGGAGAUUUCAUUACUUGUUGACUGGUGUUUGGGAUUUUUUUUUAAAUUUUUUUUAGGGUUUUGGAUGAUCGUCUUUCUUGAUCUGGACUUUUUUUUUUAAGAUUAUUUUAUUUUUUGUAACUGGUAAUAUCAAAAUGUAUGGUUGAAAUUUGUUAAUGAAUGAACAGAUGCAUAAGACAACUUUCCUGGGUUAGGUGCGACAGUUAGUGGUUUGAUUGCAAAAGGGGUCGAUCCAAGUGAGUAUGAGUAGCGUACACAGCUCAUAAAAGAAAGAGAAAACAUUUUAGUGAGGGCAAAUUUAAUUCGGAAAAUCCACAAUCAUAAAUUCAUUAAAUAAAAUCACGGGAUCCUAAUGACCAAAAGAAACAAGGGUUUCAGAAUGAAGUUUCUUAGGGUUUAGUGCCGUUUUGGCAGGAAGUUGUGGAACUUAUUUAAGGGAGUUUCAUUACCAACUCUUGGGAGCUGGUUUUUGAAGGUAUUCCUAUUUCGCCAAUUCUUUGUGACUGGAAAGGGGUUUUAUUUUUUAUUUUAUUUUAUUUUUAUAUUUUUUGUGUUGCAUGCGAUCCCUUCAUUUUGUAUGCUUUUUAACCCUUAAUCAAAUCCAACUCCAGCAAGGCUAUCGAUUUGUAGAAAAUCCUGGCCGGUUUGGAGUUAGGGUUUUGAAAUAGUGGAGUGGUUCAUUCAUCAAGCAAACACAAAGCAUAAAUAAUGCCUGCUUUUUUUGCAAAAUAGUAAAUGGCACACUACAGAAUUUGUUUUUAGAUGAAUAUUUUGGGGAAUUAGUCAUUUUCCAUCUAAAGGAUUAUAGGAGCUGCUUACCCUUCAAUUAUUCAAUAAUUGAAGGCCACUCAGAGUGGGAUUAACUAAGCCACAAGAAGUUGAUGUCUUGUGGUAACUAUUAUUCUGUGGAAGGCAAUUGCAGUGCUUUGAUUAUGGAUUAAGAAUUUUAGCAAAGUGGACAGCUGGUCUUUCCAAUACCUUGGUUGGACUCCUUUUCUGGAUUCCUGGGACAGAAUCUCUCCCAAUGUGGGCUGAUCUUGCUUGUAGGUUGCCAUAGGUGGUUAGAUGCUGCCUUCCAGUUUUGGUGUUGCUUUCAUUUGACCUUUGCAUGGCUAUGCGUAUUUGUUCCUAUCUUCUGAUGCAAAUUAUUCUCAUUGGAAUCAUGUCUCCGUUCCCUGCAAGGGGGGGAAAAUGCCUGCUGUGAAACAUGCCAUUUAUUGUGGUUGCUGAUUAGAUUCAAUGGUGUCGUUGUUUUGCAUGGUUCCAGACAUUUAUCUGGUGACACUGAUUUACCCUGGACUGAGAGCAAUAAAAUAUCCCAUGCUGUUGAUCCAAGUGGAGGGCAUUUUACAGAAAAUCUUCUCACAUGGUACUUGGACAGAGCACUUGAAUGUGUUCUCUUGCAGAGGAUAUUUCUUCUUGCAUUGCCUGUUUGUCUAUGCCUUUCCAUUCUUAAAUGAUAAAGGGUACAAGCUUCAAAAGGGUUGCUUUGGCCCUGUUUAGAAAGGAUUUUUAUUUUUUGGAAGGGGUGGGGAUGUGUGGGUGUUAUGAUGUAUGAUGAGAAAACAAGAGCUUCUAGAAGGUAAAUCCAGUUUCAACUCUUGAAAUUCUUUAGGCUUAAAUCCUGAUUCAUUUCAAGCUCUCUAGUUCUAUAUUUUGGAGUUAAAUUGGUAUAAUUAGCCUUUGAUUGGUAUUUUGAUAAUUCUAGUUUAAAUCCCUUGUAUCAAAUGCCAAAUUAUGAUCAGCAGAGUAGUUCCUGCAUGUCUACCCUUGUUUAGAUCAAUUUCAUAUAUGGCUUAACAUGUUUAAUCUCACUCUAGCAAAUAAUUAUUAUUUUUUUUAUAAGCAAAAAUGCAUAUAAAUUAAAACAUGCCAAAAGGAUGCACCACAGUACACAGGAUGUAUACAAAUAUUGCCUAAAAGCACAAGAAACAAGAGAGAACACAAAAAACAAUACCCUCUCUUAACAAGAAACUAACCAUUCUACAAAAUCUAUGUCUAUGUAUAUCUUUACCCAAUUAAACAAAUUACUAAAUAUUGAUCCAAAGGCUCUUUUCCUUCCAAACAGUUCAAAAAAUAGACAAAGGAGCUGCUCUCCAAACCUUAUUAUCCCUUUUACCUGCAAAGGAACUAGGCCAUCCCAGGAGAGCCUCCUUAACGAUAGCAACUUCCACCCAUUGGAUUCUGAAAAGAGCAAACAGCACCUGCCAAAGGACCCUGUCUUAGCACAUAGUAAUGAUCUUAUGACUGUUGUAAAUCUAUUGUGGUUUGAGGCUAAGUUGCUGAUUUUAAUUUCUCAUCUGCGAUUCCUUAUCUCAAGUUUCAUAUCCAAGCUCCAUGUUACUCCCUUUUUUAAUGUGGAAUCAGUAGGUUAGUGUUCUUGAUUUUACUGGGUCUUUAGAAGAUUGUUUUGGCUUGGUUUAGUUUUCAUGUUUGUCUUUUCUAAUAGCUGCUAUUCUUUGUUUGGUUCUACCAUCAAGAAUCCUUGGGAAGAUGAUGUUGAUGCAUGAAAGUUAACUACACUACAUUAAAAACAUAAUUAAAGGGAUUUUCUUGCUAUGAAUUAUCAGAAUAAAGCUGUCUUUGACUUCUAAUUAACAUGAUAAUGGUUGUUUGGUGCUUGGUCCUCAUUUAUUUGUCUUCCUUUAUUCGAUGUCCCCCUGUUUACUUUAAUAGACUUGAUUGCAAUGAGUUGCAUGUUCAAAUUUCAUUUCAUAUUUUGUAAAAGAUCUCCCUGUUCUCCCAUUCUCCCUCUUCUUGGUUUACUGAUGUACUUUUUUUUUAUUACAAUAAAAUUUCAAGUGGAGCAAGAGAUGCUGAAUAAUAACCUUGUGUCUUACAGGUUCUUGGUGUGGAAAAGACGGCAUCUCAGCAGGAAAUUAAGAAAGCUUACUAUAAGUUGGCAUUGCGGCUCCAUCCUGAUAAAAAUCCUGGUGAUGAGGUGCAUUUGAUUUCUAAUGAUGCCAAAAUCCUAUUCUCCAUAUAUCCGUUGCAAGGGUGGUUUUCUGGUUGUUACCCUUUGUUUUUUUCCCUCAUGUAGGAAGCCAAGGAAAAAUUUCAGCAACUACAAAAGGUGAUAUCAAUUCUUGGUGAUGAAGAGAAAAGGGCACUCUAUGAUCAGACUGGUUGUGUUGAUGAUGCUGUAAGUGAAUAUGAAAACCUUUUGUUUUGUAUGUUCUUUUUUAAUGGCAUUUGAGGGCACAAAUGUGUCCAUAAGAAUUGAUGAUAUCUAUUGAUCAGGAAGUGUGCAUCUUAUUUCUCAAUUUUUUUAUGAUCAGGACCUUGCUGGUGAAGUUGUUCAGAAUUUGCAUGAGUUUUUCAGAACCAUGUACAAAAAGGUCAUAUCAUUUUGCCUUAUUAUGGAAAAUUUCUGAUUUCACGUAAUCCUCCUAUUUAUUUUCAGACUGGAAAGAUGACAUGUGAACACUUGCAUUGGUAGCAGGUUACUGAGGCAGAUAUUGAAGAGUUUGAAGCAAACUACAGAGGAUCUGAUUCAGAGAAGAAUGAUUUGAUUGACCUGUACAAAAAGUGCAAGGGUAAUAUGAACAGGUACAAUAGCAAAUGUGUUUCCCUUCUUUUUUUUUUUUUAGGCUUGCCGGAUCAGCCUCUAAUCUGCUUUCCUUCUCAGGCUUUUCUGUUCAAUGCUUUGUUCUGACCCUAAGCUGGAUUCACACCGAUUCAAGGAUAUUCUUGAUGAGGCAAUAUCAGCAGGUAAGGGUUCUACUAGCUUUCUUUUUGUUUUUUUCCCUUCCUGAGAUAAGUUGUCUGAUAUUUAGCCAUUCUAUUUUCUUGGAAUUAGUGAAAACCCCUAAUGUGAGGCCUCAGAACUAGCUAUAAACUAAUAAGUAGAAAAUAAGCAUAUGAUAAAAAUCAGAAAAUAAAGAUCUGAUGACCCAUUGGCCCCACCCUAUAGGUCCACAUAGAAAAAUAACAUGGUGAAAUCAUUGUUAUUAUCUUCUUUGUUGGGGACCCAUUUAAGUUGUUGGCCUGUACUACUUGACUGUUGUUUUGUUUAAGAAACCAUAUUUAUAGCCAUGCUUCACAUGUACAUUGCUGACCAUGCACAGCAUAUUCUGCCACAAUUACACUUAAUCAUUCUCUUUUUCACAUAGGAGAGCUGAAGGCAACCAAAGUCUACCAGAAAUGGGCAAAACAAGUGUCUGAAGCAAAACCACCUACUAGUCCUUUAAGGAAGAGAGGAAAGUGAGUCAUCUCAACUUCAGAGUUGUGUUUUCAUGCUUACAGUAGUUUUAACUUUUAUGACCCCUGGAUGAAUAAUAUGCCUUUGACAGAUCAAAUAAAGAGUCAGAAUCAGAUCUAUUAGCAAUUAUAUCUCAGCGCAGAAGUGAAAGGAAAGACCGUUUUGAUUCAAUGUUCUCAUCUCUGGUGUCUAAAUAUGGUGGGAGUGGACAAGUUUCAGAACCCACUGAAGAAGAAUUUGAGGCCACACAAAGAAAGUUAGAGAGCCUCAAGGCAUCCAAAAAGUCCAAGCGGAAGUAACUGAACAACUCAAUAGAAUUUCUGUGUACAAAUUUUGUUUGCCUGUGAGCAUUUUGUGGUUUCCUUAUUCUUGGUACUUAUAUAUAGCUUUCGGAUUGUAUGAUUAUUGUAAACUGUCUUUUCUUAAGGAUUUUGGAUGAUUUCUCCUUUGAUUAGAUGGUCUGUAUGUCAGGUUACACGAAAAUAGAUUGAAUAACAAGACAAAACCAACAAAAAGUGAAGUAGAAUUGCAUUGCAUUGAAGAACCGUGGCAUUAAAAGGAGUGUAGGCCAUAUGAUAAUGUUAAAAUGAUAUUGUGGUAAGACAGGAAAAUAUAGAUUUAGAAAUGACCUGCAUUUGUGGAAGUUUGAAGUAGCACUAAUAUUGGACAGGGGAAAGUUGAUUAAGCUGGUUUAAUGAUACGCAUUAAGAACCAAUUAUUGCACCAAUUGAGGUGUGGUCCAUGGUGAUCUGCUUUUUAGGAGAUUGAUGAAACGGAGCUGUAAUUUGGGCGGCUGUCAUAUGAUUAUGUACAACCUCUAUAGAUGGCCCUCUUGCAACCAAAAUCAGGUGGCAUCAAAUAAAACUUAUCCAUUGGAAUGAGCUAUGAGCUAUGAGCUUGGGCAGAGAAGAAGUAAUGACUAAAGACCAUUUUUUUCGCAGAUUUGUUUGCAUUCUUUGCCCUCUAACCCAAAAUGAAGCUAGAAAGAAAGGCCGAAAAGUGAACAAAAUGCUUUACCCAAAACUCAUGCCUAACAAGGAAGAAAUUCUCAAAUUGAUCCAUUAGGUCUUCAGCAGUGUUACAAUUCUGUCCUCUACCCGCUUAGGACAUAAUGAAAACAACUUCACCUAUGGCAUGCUUAGAUGAAUGUUAUGUGAAGUGUAGGCGGAUGGACCAUUUGGUCUCCCUCCCUGUUUGUUUGCACUUUUUGAUGCAUCUGGGUCAAAUCACCAAGAAAAGCAUUAGGAUCCAAAACUUAUAUCAUCUUCCUUCGGCUUUGCUUGCUGCAUGUGUUCCAACAUCCAUGCCCUCUGCUUUAAUUUCUUUUCUAUUUCCUACCAAACAUGUUUACAAUAAGUAUGUCACAUUCUGAUAAUUUGGGGAAAGUAUAUAAUCUUUCAGCAUUCAGCUUGCCAAAUCAAGGCUAGUUCUUUUAAUACAGAAAGAUUUGCAUCAGACCCAUCUUUCACAACUAAAACAUGACCACUACUUACAAUAGUUACCUCUUACCUUAUUAUUACUUAGAGCAGAAGUAAAGAUUAGGAGUUCUUAUGAAUUGGGUAUCUAUUUCCUUAAUAAAAUGACUGUUGUACAGCAAGUUUGGAUGCUCAACUGGCAGUUUCCAUAUUGGGGCCCUAUGUACCUCAAAAAAGAUUCCUUUACAAUUGAAAAUGGAUAGCACAUACACCAAAAGUCUCAUUGACGAAGGGAGGUGGAUGAUGACAAGGAGUUGGUGGUCUAGCUUAAACCAUCAGGCAGUUCAACCACAGCAUAAUUUCAGCUAUUGCCCACCAUUUGGAUGAGCUGAUGAGGGUCAGGUAUGCUUUUCACCUUUCUACUCAGUUCCCUUUUUUCCAAUGCAUUAGGUUUAUAUGCUCAUUUAGUAAAGGUUUUGACAGUUGAUGGUGGGAAAAUUUGAGUCAACUCAAUUGAAUUUGUGGCAAAAAGUAAAUAAAAUUGCCCACAAUUUGCAUAUUCAGAAGCAUGAUUACACCCAAAGAUGGGAAAUCAUGAAGUGUUUCGGUGUGUGAAAAAGGUUUAAGGUACCCAUGAUUCCAUAAUGGGUGUGGCUGGCCAGCACAUCACAGCGCAAACCAAAUGACUUUGUGGGCAGAUCCUAGCAAUUGGGGUAAGUCUAAAAUUGGAUGAGAGCUUCAGUUGGAGGAUGGUGACAUCACAACUGCAUGCUGUGAAAGAAUUCCCCUGGUCUUCAUGAUCCUCCAUGAAUCUGCAAAUGCAAGCAAAGCUUUGCCUCUUCUCUAGUCUUCCAUGCCUGUCACUGAAAUAACUUUUUUGCCUUUACUCUCUCUCCCCCUCUCCCUCUCUGGGGUAGAUAAUCAACUUUUCAAUUAAGUAUCAUACUUGGUAAAUAAUCACCUUUUGAAUUAAGUAUUGCAUUUGAGCUUUGUUGCUUUUCUUGGGUUUUCCCUUCCAUCUGUCUCUGUCUCUCUCUCUAUCUAUCUCUAUUUUUGUUGGCCAGUAAUCGCCUUUUCAAUUAUUAUAUUAGUGCUAUGUCGCUUUUACUUGAGUUUGUCUUCCCACCUUUUUCUCAUUUAUGUUGUAAUUAAUAUCAUUUACUGUGGAAUUAAGCUUUACUCAAGUUCGUCUCUUCCUACCUAUAAGACCCCUCAAGGUUUCUGGAACUUCAUUAGUCUCAAGAGUCAUCCCUUGGAACCUUUUACGCCCGUAAUUGUUGCUCCAUGCACUCAAAUUUCCCUUUUCUGUUUAUUUUUGCUACAGAAUUGUCAUCCAAUUGUGAGAUUUCUGAAGUAGAUCCAAAUUGCAGACACUUAGGUUUACUGCUCGAGCUGGACUUUACCUCUCUGUGAUUCUUUUGCUUUUCUUGAAGGUCUUCAUGGAGACGGAGGAAAGUGAUACGAGGCUGAAAAUGGAAGAUUAUGAAGUUAUAGAGCAAAUUGGAAGAGGAGCAUUCGGUUCUGCCUUUCUUGUUCUCAACAAGACUGAGAAAAAGAAGUAAGAUGAUUAAUACCCUACCAUGUUUGUCUCGGUUUUGUUCUUUUCUCUACCUCGGUGGAUCUCAGAAUUAUGUGAAUUUUUAAUGAGAUUUGACUACCCAUCUUCUUUUUCUAUCCUUUCCUGUACAGUCCAUUCCUUAGAUGAUGAUUUUUCAAGGAACAAUGGAGGAAAAUCAAAAUUCUGUGUUCAAUCACAGAAAUUAUCUUCAAUAAAAACACAAUCGUUUUCUCAAAGCUGUAAAUUCAGAUUCCACUUUGUUUGAUUGUGUGUUUUUCUGUUUAAUAGAUAUGUUCUAAAGAAGAUUCGUGUGGCUAAGCAAACAGAGAAGUUCAAGCGUACAGCACACCAAGAGGUCACCUCGACUAAACCCUUUUAAUAUGUUUUCUAUAUCUUCCUUUUGAGCAUUGGAUUCAGCAUCUUUUCAUACCGUCUACCUGUAUUGCUUUAGGCAUUAUACAUGAAUUCAAUGCUUGUUUUCUGCUUACCUAACUCAAUCUUAGUCUCGAUCGAAUCAUCCCCAGUGCAUUAAUAGGAAACAGCUGCAAAUAUAAGAAUGCAAUACGUAGGAAAUCAUCACAAACUAUGAAAAAGGACCCAAGCAUGUAACUAAUCCUUGAUGGUGCCCUUUUCGCAGCAAACAAACUUCUUAUCACUUGCUACUUGAAUAUGUUCAUAAUUGAUUGAUAUUAGAUAUUCUCAUUUACAAUAAUUGUAGAUGGAGCUGAUUGCCAGACUAGAUAACCCAUAUAUAGUGGAAUACAAGGAUGCUUGGGUGGACAAGGUAAGUGCAUGAUGUCUUUGUGUUUAGUUGCUUUUGGAAUUUAAACAACAUAAAGCAUUUUGUAGCAUGGAAAAUUGUCGCUAUUUCAGCUAUUUUUAGUCCGAUACAAAUGGGUGUUUUGCUUUAUAUUUGGCAGGGAUGCUCUGUAUGCAUUGUGACUGGCUACUGUGAAGGAGGCGACAUGUAAGUAAUCACCAUCUCUUUGAGCUGUCAAUGGCACAAAUGGGAUAUAAUGGACCCACUUCUCAGAGAUAAAGCAGCACUUUCAAAUGAUUGACUAAGCCAAACCACCCACCCUACUUCAAUUCUUCCCACCUUCAACUCAAUAUAUCAGGAUAAACAUGUCUGACAACUAAAAUAUGCCUUAAAUAGUCUGUUAGAAUGAAAAACUAAUGUUUUUGGAUGAAUAGGGCUGGGGCCAUAAAGAAGGCCAGAGGAGCAUUGUUUCCAGAGGAGGUAAACAGAAAGUUCCUUUCUGAAAUCAAAAUCCUAUAUAUGUACCUACAUGAUGCUCAUAUUCUACAUGGCUCUUUUUUUUGGCUCCUUAGAAGCUCUGCAAGUGGCUGACUCAGUUGUUGCUAGCAGUGGACUAUCUGCAUUCAAACCGUGUCCUUCAUAGAGAUCUUAAGGUACAAAUAUACACUAAUUCCUGAAUAAAAUUGAUUAAAACAGCACUGUCAGUGACAGAGUAACAAUAAUGUUGCUUAAUUUCAGUGUUCCAACAUAUUCCUCACAAAGGAGAGCGACAUCCGGCUUGGUAAGAAGACAAAAGUCUCGCUGAAAGAGAGGGAAUUUUUUCUGCAUCAAGUUUGGGUUCCCUUGUCUUGACGUCUUAUGAGAAAUAUUUAUCUUUAAUGGAAUAUACAGGUGAUUUUGGACUUGCAAAAUUGCUCAGCACGGAAGACCUUGCUUCCUCGGUAGGUACCUGUUUAUCCACCUAAAAUGUUGUUCUUAUGCUUCAUGUCAAUGUCUUGACAUGCAAACUCUACCAACUUGGAACUGUUCCAAACUCCAUAUGGAUCCAUCACUGCACCCAAACAUGGUAUUUUCCUAAUCUAGUUGUUCACUUCAACCUAUUUUCAACAUCAUCUGUAAUUUAUAUAGGUUGUGGGUACUCCCAACUACAUGUGUCCUGAGCUUCUAGCAGAUAUACCUUAUGGAUACAAAUCUGAUAUAUGGUCACUAGGUAAGAAACCCAAAAACAUAGUUCUCAUUUUUAUGCUGUUCCGUUGAUGAUUCUGUUAUGAAUAACAUGCUUCCACUACUUCAGGUUGCUGCAUGUUUGAAAUUGCUGCACAUCAACCAGCAUUCAGAGCCCCUGUAAGUUUAAGCAUGAGCCAUAUUUUAUGGCGUCAAAUCACUUGGCCACAGUUGGAGCAUAUGAAAUUUACUCACAGCAUGAACUUCAUGGUAACAUAAAAUCUAUUCAUAACUCUUUCUAUCAAUCAGGAUAUGGCUGGACUAAUCAACAAGAUAAACAGAUCCUCCAUUUCUCCUCUCCCAAUUGUAUAUUCCUCCACAUUGUAAGUAUUUUCUUCUCUGAAAAAGAUCAAUCAAAUAAGUUUCUCUUAGUAAAUACUGAAAAUGUCUAUAGCAAUCAUGUAUGAUGUGCCUUUCUUGUCAAUCCUGCAACUGAGUUUACAGGAAACAGAUUAUCAAGAGUAUGCUGCGGAAGAAUCCAGAACACAGGCCAACUGUGAGUUCAAGUAGCCUGUAGCCCUAGCCCCACCCUUGCAUAUAAUCAAUUUUAACACCAUCCAUUCUCUUACUGGCGCAUUUUAAAUUUCAGGCUGCAGAAUUGUUAAGGCAUCCUCAUUUACAACCAUACCUGGUCCGCUGCCGCAACACAUCAUCCAUCUUUCUUCCUGUAAAGUCUGAGCACAUUUCAAAGGAUAAAACACCGAGAAAACCAUCACCUAUCAAACAUAGUGCUGGAAAGGACAAUAGAGACAAAGAGGGAAGAGUACUCAAAAUGGCGGGUAGUGUUGAGCCAUUGGAGGAAAAUGCAAAUGUUCAGCCAAGGAAUCUACAGAACAAAGCAAAGCCAACACCCAUAGUUCAAACUGAAGAAAACCUAGAGACCAAGAGAGUGGAUCCUACAAGCUAUCCUGAGGAAGUAUCCAAUGCUGUUGAGAGUUCAAAAGGUGGGUCUACAAGCUGUGCCACAACCAUUACCAAUGAAGAUGAGCAGGUGAACGGUAUCCUUUUAGCACAGAAGGAAAGCCUUGACACCGAAACUUCUACCGGGAGUACACCAAAUUCUCAGCCUGGAGAUGAAAAAGAACAAGACGAAUCAGAAUCCGCUCCCAAACAUUUUGCGCAAAUUCAAGAUGGUGAUAUCAAGAAUGUAACCUCAGAGGAUGAUGCAAUGGAAUCCAACACACAAGUUCCUGCAGGGGCUGAAACAGAGAGCAAGAGUCUUCAGCCUGGAAAUCAUGGGGCAAUGGCAACAUCCAGUGCCAACUCUACAGAUAAAGGUGGCUCUCUUGAUGAUGAAUCAUCAAAUUCAUCAUCAGCCACACAAGGUAUUGAAUAUGAACCUAAUGCAGAACCCAGUUGCUGUCUACAGAAAAUGGAAAGCCCCGAUUCCCAGGCAGAAGGCGGGGCUCAAAUUGACUACAUCUCAUCAGAAAGCAACGACAUACUCCCAUGUAAGGAUGAAGCAGGAGCAAAAACAGACAAUACUAGUUGCUCCAUGGUAAUGGCGAAAGACGAUAUGAAUACGAUGAAUAAAGCUCCAAGCGAAGUUUCAUUGCUGAGCACACUGACUGCAGUUGGUGGAGAUGAAACUAAAGGCGAAUGGGAUAACCCGAGCCAGCAGAGGGCCGACGCGCUAGAGUCCCUGCUUGAGCUAUGUGCACGGCUGCUUCAACAGGACAAACUGGAAGAGCUUGCUGGUGUGCUGAAACCUUUCGGAGAAGAAGCUGUCUCGUCCAGAGAAACUGCAAUUUGGUUGACAAAGAGCCUCAUGACUGCACAAAAAUUUCUUGGAGGAGCCUAAUUUAUCAACAACUGAGAUGGUUUGAAUUUUUUCAAUAAAUUAUUGUAAAGGAAAAUGGCCUUCUGUUAACUAUGUUUCUUCCAAAAUGUUUGCUUGAUUCUCACAUAUUAUCCUGUCCUAUCCUCCACAUGAGCUCACCCCACCUGACUAUGUCAUAAAAAUUUGUUUGUGUAAUCUCCAUUUCUGUCUGUUGUGUAAUCGUUUGCAGCAUGGAUUAAAGCUUUCUGAAAUUGAUUAUAUAUAAUCUUGUCUGGGAUCAGUCUAGGUGAUGAGAAAAAUGGGAAUCCUGAGAAACCCAUAUAGCAAAAUCCUUGUUUUAUUUCAAUGUAUCAUAGAAAAGUAUCCAGACUAACAAACACAUGAUACCAACAGAAUUCAAGAAACAUAGUGAUAAAAAAGUUCAACCACCAUUCUCUUCUCUAAUCAUUCCUCUCUCUCCUUUCCAUGUCUUCUCUUCUGAGCUGAGAGUUCAGUGCAAGUAGAAGGCGAAGAAUGAGAGGACGGAGGCUCCGACCAACGACCCCAGAACAGGCAAAGUUGCUUGGGCAGCAUUGGAUGGUCCUGGUGCGGGAGACAUGACCUCAUCUGAAGCCAUGGCGGCGCUCAUGGAGGCGGCAGCGAUGAGAACAGCGCAUGAGAUCUUCUUCAUGUCCAUGAUGAUAUUGAAUUCUGAAUUUGUUGUUAAUUUAGAGUUUGGAAAAUAAAAGGAUUUGAGAGAAUUUGCAGAGACCCGCCUCGGUGACUAAUAAAUUUUUGGAGCAGGUCUGAAGAAAAAUGAAGGUGGUGGAGAGGAUUUUAUAGGGAGAAAUUUGUGCUAUUUUUAGGGUAGAAGAAGCUGUUUGUUAGAGGUGCUAUGUUUAGUAGGUUUUGCAAGGAGUUAGUGGCUUAUGUUAGUGGGUCAAUAUGGAUGGUUCCUAGUGGUAUCAAUGGUUUGACCAUUUCAAACGCCUAGGGAAAUAACGAAUGGUACCAAUUUUUUAAUGUAGAACUAUAAAUUUUGAAAUACAAACAUUUAGGAUUAAGUAAAAAAAUAUAUAUAAAGUAAUAAAAUCAAAAUAAAAAGCAAUGAAAUAAAAUAUAAAAUAAUAAUUACACAUAUUACAUAUAAUAUAAUGAUAUUAUUGAUUAAGGGUGAUAAACUUCAAUAUAAUUCGUUAACACAGAUUCAAACCUAAUACAUUUUUCACAAAUUUGGAUUGAGUAUAAUCAUGUUUGAAUAUAAUUUAUAAGGUAUGGCCUAAAGUAUCAUCAUUGUUACAAAGACGAGAUAAGGUGACAGAUACUUCUUUGAAGUGAACGAGUUGUUCCAAUCUAGCACGUAGAAUAGAUAUCGGAAAGAUAAGACAAUUCUUAUAGGGCAAAGGAAUACAUAAAGAUAAAUCUUCAUCCAUGUGCAUGGAAAUAACUACAAGAGGGUUUGGUCUAGAUAAAUAGGUUGUUAUAUCUAGAGUUUGACCUCGGCUAUCAAAAUGCAAUAGUUGGCCUAUAAUUGGAUCAAAGAAUACCUUAAGAUUCAAUGAUUGCAGAUAAUAUAAUUAAUUUAACUAUAAUUGUAAUGUAUUUAACCCAUUCAUUUCAAGCUUACAUUUAAAUAAAUAAGUUAAAUUAAAUCAUUAAAAAUGUGACGUUAGGAGGCUAAUCACAUAGACUUAUAAAAAAUCUAAAUCAACUUAAUUAUUAAACAAGAUAACCUAAUUAUUAUUAAAUAGGUUAAAUGGAUAACAUGAUAUAUUACUUAUUUAAUUAUGUCAUAUUUGAUUUUAUAUUUUUAAUUUAAUUAUUAUUUAGGUUGUGGUAUUUAGAAAAACGCUUUAAACUUUACUCAUCAUAGAUACAAACCACCGAAACUAAUUUCCACUCUGCUGUUAAUGCAUAUAUAUCGACGUUUAAAAAAGUAGUGGUCAUUAUUUGAAGGGCUUCAUCUGGAAACCAAGAAUAGAUAAUUUUAAUACAAGAUUGAAAUGGGUUUUCAAAAAUUAAAAGUUACUUGGACCUAGAAAGUCUUAUAGGAAGGAAAAUGAUAUCUCACAAUUAUGAUAAUGCGAAGACCAUGGAAGAGAUGAGUAAAAAAGUUUCUAAUCCAUAUCCUCGUAAGAAUAUUGAGAAUGUUUCGACAAUUUUUAUAUUAUGCAUUAAGUGUAUAAUAUGUUUAUGAAAAGCAAGUAAAAAAAUAUAUAUUUUUGAGGUAAAAUAGAAUUAAUUAGUAAUUAUUUUCAAAUUUUGAAAAUUAAUUUUGAACCUAUUGCCAAAAAUAACCCUACCUCUCCACAUUACUUGGUAUCCCAGGCCCAGCCCCCUGAAUUAUUGAAAACUAAUGAGUGAUGAGUGAUGUCUGAAUUCAAAGGAUGUGGCGGUUGAAGUGAAAGCCACCCCCUCUCUGCUUUGGCCCACGAUGACCAGAAAAUUAUCAUUUCUGACAGCUUAACGGCUAGUUUUCCUUUCCAUUUUAUAACGCCACCUCACCUAAUUUCACCUUCGUCGUGGACAUGCCACCUCGCAAUGCAUCCUACGCCUUCCCCCCUUCUACACCCAUCAUUUUUUUUAUUCCUCUAAAAAUAAAUCACAUAAAAAAUUUAAAUCUCUCCUAAAAUUUUUAAAAAUAAUAAAUGAAAAAUAAUGAAGAAAAUAUUUAAUAAAAUUCCAAAUUAAUGAAAAUUCAAUGUAUUUAAUUAAAAUCUAAGAAAUUUUUAGUCCAAAAUAAUAAUAAUUAAAAGUAUUUUUGACAAUAAAACAAAAAAUUAUUUUCAAACAGAUCCGGCCCUCUCAUUCCACGUGUUUAAACGACUAAUAUACCCUAAUACCCCUCACCCAAAUCGAGGUAGAUCUCAGUGAUUUGAUGUGACGCGGACUACGAAACGAUUCGUGUUCCGAAUCCAACGGACGCCAUUGCAUCUACGCCACGCCAACCCUCGCGAUGAGAACAUCGGGGAAAGUACACUGCAUCGUAAACCACAAAAAGCUUCCGAAAAGCCCAAUAAAUCACUGCCACGUAUGAGUACAGCCACGUGUUAUCAUAUCAUUACAAAUGUCGAAUUCAACGUUUGUGGCUUUGGGCCAUUCUGGGCCCCAACGUUUCGGACCCGAUACCGAACUGUCUCUCGCCGCGGGCCCACCGUAGUAGUAUCCCAAAAGGCAUAACAAAGCAAUAAAAAUGAGGAUUUAAAUCCCAAUAUUUCUCUAUAAAUUCAAUCUCUCCGGCAUCGAGCCAAACACACCUCACUUCUUUUCACAGAACAUCCUGCAUAGCAUUCAAUACAGUAUUCAACAGAAUGCAUCCCGCCACUUUCGCUGCAAUCCACAUAAUGAUGAUCGCAUUUCUAGUGUUCGCGUUCGGAUCUCCGGUUACGGCACAGGACGCCAUAGCGCCUUCACCGGAAAUGGACACCGGAGCUGCUUUUGCGCUGCCGGUUUCUGGUAUUUUGGUUGUUUCUUCUGUUAUAAUAUCUCUGAGCAGGGCUUUGUGGUGGUGAAUUUCGAAGUUUUGGUACGUUGUCUGUAACUAUGCCUCUGUUGCUGAGUAUUGUGUGGAUGUGUGGUGAAGGUAAAAGAGGCUUUGUGCGAUGUUUUUAUGUUUCUGGUGGAGAGGAGGAGAGAUGUGAUUAUGAUUUUGCAAUUGAUGUGAUUUUAUGAAUGAUAAAUAAAUUCACAUUAAUUAAUUCUUUUUUUUUUUCUCUGUUCUGUUAUCAAAGUUCUUCCAAAAUAAAUAAAAAAUAAAUUCUAAUUAAAAAAAACACACUUACACACAAAAAAGUUAUAUAUUAAAAAAAUUAAAAUUAAAAGCAGUUUCUUUAUAAGCCAAACUAAGCUGUGUACCGGCUUUAAGAUGUUGUUGGCUUUUCUUAAAUGUGAAUUUUCAGGAUCGAGAUAUUUAGAUUGUCAUCAAAUCAAGUGGAUCUUCUGUAAAUCCUAAUCGAAAAUAUAUAAUUAAGAAAAAUUCAUAUUUAUAUAUUCUUAAAACAAAUUAUCAUUAUGCAUUAGCAUCUAAAUAUAAAAAUAUAAAAUAAGAAUACAAUCAAAAGUAUAAAACUUAUUUAAAAUUUACAAAAAUGAUAAUAUAUACCUAGAAAACAUUAAUAUUUCUAAUUUCAAAAAGGCAACAGCAGAGGCAUAUACCCCUCCACCUGAUUAAUGUAUUUUUAAUUUAUUAUGAAUAAAAUUAAAUAAAUUUAAUUUAAAUAAAUAUAAAGACAUAAAACUUAGAAACCAAACGAUCAAUCUAUGAAAAAAAUUCUUGACCAUGUUUGUGCUAAUAUUAUAUAAUUAAAAAUAAUGAAAAAUAAUCCCAAAUAAUUAAAUUAAAUUAGAUUUGAAAUAAUUUUCCAUCAUGUCUCUUCGAGGAAGAAAUUUUUUUAAGAAACGAUGGCACAGCAAAGUAAAAUGUCACAGAGCCCACCACCAACCUGGUCAGCUAUUUGUACACGUGGCAAUUAUACGUGGCUGCUAAAUUUUCACACUGGGGUCCACAGUUCCUCUAAAAUCCCCUAUUUAUAGACUCCUUGUUCACAAACCCUGGUCAUACUGUCAGUGUCCGAUUCCUGAGUCUGUGUUUCCUACUUUCCUCUGAGCUUUGGAGUUGGUUCAUCUUCAUCAUUCACCAAUGGCGUAAGAUAGCAUCGGCCUUCGUGCUCAUUCUCGCGGUGGCGAUCUUUGCGGCCGCUACCACUGUCUCGGCGAACAAUGAGGCUCCGGCGCCUGCUCCGUCUGCUGCAUCAUCGUUCUACUCACCGGUGUCCAGUGUUUUUGUUGUCUCUUUGGUCGCCUUCUCUGUUUUUGCUCUCUUGAAACAUUGAGUUUCGAUGCGUUGAAGAUUGCGUGAGGCGAUUUAGGAUUCCAUGGGAUUCAUUCAUUCGCUGCAUUAGUUUUAUAAAUGAAUUUAUUGUGAUCGCUGCAUUAGUGUUAAUUUAUUCUAAUGUAUUGAUCUGUUAUUCCCUUUCUGGAUCUCUGUUCUUGCCUCGGCAAUUACUGUGAUUAAUAAAGUAUCCUUUGUCAGUCUCUGCAAUAGAUUCUAAAAAUAUGAAUGAUCUAUUCUUGAUGAUUUUGCCACAAUUUCUUGCUGUUGAUUCUUUUAUUACAAGCAGAACUAGGCAAAACAAAAAUUAAGUGCUUGUUUGGAACCUCUUAAUGAAAACAGAUUUAUGACCUUUGGAGCAGAAAAAUUAUCCUGAAAACAAACAGUGUUUUAUUAGCGUAAGUUGUAUGUUAACCUUUUUUUCUGGCACGAAAACAUUGAAGUAUUUACAAAAGGAUUGGACUUAUUUUGGUUUCUCAAAUUUAAGAAAUUCAAUCUAUAACGAAAAGUGAGAGAAUAGGUUUUCUCAAAUUGUGGAAUAGCCUAAACACUUUCACAUAUUUUUUAUUUCAGAUUUCAGUAAUAAUAGGAUGGUUCCCUUUCUUUUGAUUUUACCGAAAUCAAGCAAAUAAGCCAUUAGAGUGUUUUGUUGUAUAUGUAGAUUGAUGCAUAUUAUUGUAGUGGAUAAUAAAACAAAUUAAUUAUUAUUUUUUUGUAUGUAUUUUUAAGAGAAUUAUUUAUUGUGUUUUUUCAUAAAACAUUGCAAAUAAUUUUUUAAUAUUAUAAAUGAUUUUUUAGAUUUUAAAACUAUUUUUAAAAUUUGGUUAAACACCAAUUUUUUGUUUUUUAAGUAUAUAUUUUUAAACUAAAAACACUUUUUAAAAUUAUUGUCUAAAGCAAAUGAUACUAUGAUAAAACAGUUAAAAAAAAUAGUACUUUGAAAAUUUUGCUUUUAAAAGUUAAUUAUUAUUUCAUUAUUUUAUAAUUUAGAAGCGUUAUUUAAUUAAAGUACUUUUGACUAUGAGCUUCUUAAGCUUUUAAGAAUAUACUAAUAUAAUUAUUUGUCAACUUAAGCCUUUUAAACUUUUAAGAGUAUAAGAAUACAAUUUUCAAAAUUUGAUUUAGAGUAUGUUUGAUAGUUAUUUUGAGAAGUGUUUUUAGUUUUUUUAUUUUUUUUUUAUUUUUUUAUUUUUUUAUCUUUAAAAUAUAAAAAAUAUUAUAAAUACUUCAUAAAAUUGCUAUGAAACGCACUCUUAUUCAAAUGUUAAAUGUGAGUUAAGAAAUAUAUUUUUAUUAAAUUAAAACUUUUAAAACAAAAUAAAAAAUCUAAUUUUUUUAAUAAGAAUAUUUUUAAAUAUAAUUACUAAACAUAAAAUUCAAUUUCCUAUACUAGAUUAAGAUAUUUCUUCUAAUAUAAUUAUGAGAUAAUUUUGACGAAGAGAUUGUCAUGAACAAAAUUUAUUGUUUACGAAAAUACACUAAUUUUUAGUUAUUAAUAGGGAUGACAAUGGGGCAAAUUUUUUCGACUACCUGUCCUGCUCCAUCCCUAAUGGGACGAUGUUCAAUUUUAAUAAACGGGUUUGAAAUUUUUUUUAGAAAUCGGGGGCAGGGGAUUUUCCCCGUCCCAUCCUAAUUAUAUAUAAAAAUAAUUUAAUUUAAAAUUUUAAAUUAUUUUAAUUUAAUUUUUAUUUUAGUAUUUUUAAUAUACAGAUAAUAAUAAAAUAAGUUAUAAAAAUAUAAUAAUUUAAUUAUUUAUAAAUAUAUAUUUAUUUUAAUGUAAUUAAAAAUUUUAAAAUAAUUUUAAAGAAAAUUAAAAUUCAAAAAAAAGUUAAACGGAACGGGACGGGACGGGGCGGGCAUAAGAAUUUAUCAUACAUUUAAUUUUUUAAAUGGGACUGGGAUGAGAAUUAUUUUGAAUAAAUGGGGUGGGAUUGGGAUGGAAGUGACCCGUUGUCAUCCCUAGUUAUCAUCUUCUUUAAAUGUUUUUUUAUAUUUAUAUUUAUUGAAAGUCCACAUGUGAUUGGAGCAAGUAAUAACUUCUUAUAACAUAGAUAACCCUAUUCUAGUUAUUAGUUAUAUAAAAAAUUAUUUUCUUUCAAUUAUAAGUGCUCAUAUUUUUAAAAACACAACAUUUAGUUUGUGCUCUCGAAAACACGAUGUUUAGUUUGUGUUAUUAAGAACACAACUUGGUUCGAAUUCUCAAUGGCAUGACUGAUUACUAGGUAUUGUUUCAUGUGAUCAUAGGGGACUUUUUAUUAAUGGUACUUUAGUUAAUUUUGAUAUUGAUUAAUUAUAAAAAAGAAUAUCAACAUUAAAUAGUUACAUGCGAUGAGUACCCUUCUACAUUUCACAAUUUUGUAUUUUCUCAAAUUUCACGCUUUUUUCAUUUAUUAACAAUAAUAACACUUUUUAUACUACAAUUAUGUUACAAAACACUUUAUAUUCCCUAUUAAUUUAAUUAUUUUUUAAAUAUAAUUACAGAAAAAAAAAAUUAGUUUAUGAUGUUUAUGUUUAAAAUAGAAAUAUCCAUACCAUAUCUAUAGGUCGGUCAUUAAUGAAUUUAAAUUUGAAAAAGCAUAAUAAUUAUCCUUUUUAAGAAAAUUGGAUAAAAUAAUCUCUGAAGUAAAAAGGACGACGGAACUUCAAUGGUAAAUCUUUUGUCUUUUGGCCCAGUCCUAGAGAGACGUUAGGUGGUUCUUAAAAGACAAAAGGGAAAAGGUUUGGCGCCUUCUCAGUUCUCCCACCCAACCGACCUCGGUGUGGACCAAUCGGCACAUGCAAAAUGAGCUGUUGGUACAGGUGGCAGCAUCUGACCAUCUGUCACUAUUCACUGUGGGGUCCAUACGUGAUCAAACCGCCUAUAUAUAGACCCCUCGUUCUAAAGCCCCAGCCAGAUCUAGUCGGUUCUCCAGUCCUGAAUAGUUCCUCCUGUUUCUCCGUCUCCGGUUGGUUCUACUUCUCUGUUCUCUUUCAGAUUUCGAGUUGGCUUUGCUCUAUCCUUCAUCAAUGGCGCAAGUUAGCAUCGCGAAGGCCUUAAUGCUCGUUUUCGUAGUCGCGAUCUUCUCUGCGGCUGCCACAGUCUCGGCGCUGGAUAACUCACCUGCGCCGGCCCCAUCGCCGGACGCUGGAUCGGCGUUCUCCCUCCCGCUAUCCGGCGCUGUUGUUGCCUCCUCUCUCGUUUUUUCUCUACUCGCCUUUUUGAAGUACUGAGUUUGGCUAUGAGAAGUUUUUAUCGUGGAGAUCGUGGAUUCAUUCUGUAGAGACUUUGAUGAUUGUAUUUGAUUUAUUCAUGAUCUACAUUAUUUAUUUAUUUUUAAGUAAAUAAAAUUUUAAUUAAUUUUGUUACAUUGAUCUGUCUAUUCCCUUUCUGAUUCCCUCUUACGCAAAUUUUGCUUGCUUUUGAUUUAAAAAAGAAUGCUUCAGAAAUCACAGUGAAAAGAAUAUUCAUCAGGAUUAUAGAUUUCAAAAGCAACUCCAACAAAUUAGUAUAUUGUUAUCAAUCAAUAUUUGAAGAUUAAUUUUUUUUUAAAUUUAAUUAGGAGAUAAAUUUGCAAUGUAAAAUUCUGGAUAAAAAUUAUUUAGCAUGAAUCAUUUUUUAUGAUGCAACGCCCCUGGAGGUGUAAAAUGGAGAAUUAAAAAGGAACUAAAGCAUCAAUGGCAACUUUUUUCUAGAAAAUGACAUUAAAAUUUGAAUUUAAGUCACAAUCCACUAUCCACAUUGGUUAUUAAGAUUAAAAUAGAGUUAUUGGAUGAAAGAUUUUGAGUGUACAAGAAUUUUAGAAGAUUUAAUGUUCUUCUACAUUGAAAGAAACAUAUUUAGGAACAUUCAAAUCUAAAGUAAAUUUUUUUUAUUUCUUUAAAUCUAGGUCCGUUUAUAUUUAAUAAUGCAUGCUUUCUUCCUUUGCUUAGGAUCUAGAGGCCUAGGAAAGUUUUUUCUGCUCUUAAUGUGAUAAUGGGAUAGGGAAUGAAGAAAUCUAAAAUUUCCUACAACAAGAAUAUCAUAGCCUAAUUUGAAGUUGAGAAAUGUAUGUUAAUGUUAUACUUUGUGCAAUAAAUUUAGUAAAAUAGUCACCAAGAAUGUUAUUGCUAAUUUGAUAAAAGGAGAAAAAUUAGAUGACAAUAAUUAUGAUAUAUAACGUAGAAAAAUUCAUUACCUAUUAAGUGAACAAGAGAUCUUGAAGACCUUAACUAAUGUCAUGAUCCAAUCCAAAGAAGAGAAUUUAGCUUAACAUCACCAUGAUUUGGAAACUUAUUAUUCUUUGUGUUAGAAAAAAAAAAAAAAAAGACUAAUCCAACCUACGGUAAUCACCCUAGGGGGGUGAAUAGGGUGAUGAUCUAUUUUUCUAAAUUUAAACUAUGUGAAUGUUAGAAACAUAUAUAUGCAAGUAUAUAAUAAAACAAUAUAAAAACAAUUACAAAUAAAGUAAAGGAAUGGGGAAAAGAUAAUGUAAACAUAAGAUUUUUAUAGUGGUUCGGCGCAACCCGACCUACAUCCAUUCUCCUCCAACAUUAAUCCCAAACUUAGAUUAUUCUUUUCAAAUAUAUGCAAAUAAUUUCACAAACUCCUAGUAUAAAACUUUAGACUCAAAUGAUACAUGUAAACUAGGAUUGAAUAGUGUACUAAAGAUAUACAAGUUUUAGAACAAUGAUGUACUAAAAAACACUUUUCCAAAGCUCAAAUAUAUUUAAGAAAUGUUUAGGAAGGUUAAACUCAUAAAAUAAUAAAGAUUUGAGUCUUUUUAUAAAAUAAAAAAGUCAAACUAGUCAUUGGGGGGUCGACCGAUCAAUUUGGGGGUCGAAUGAUUAACUAGGCGUUAGUAUUUAAUAUUUGGCAAGUGGUCGUUGGACCUCGAUUGGUUACUAUUCAUACAUUGACUGGUUUAGGUGGGGGUCGAUCGGUUAUUGUUUACACAUUGACCGAUAGAAUAAUUGUUUUGGAAGAGAUAUAAGGUUUUUUUGCACCCCUUGACGGAUUAAGCUAGGGGGUCGACCGAUUCCUCAUCCAGUUCAACCAGUUGAGCCGUUUUUGGCUUAAUAACCAACCUUUUAAAUAAGUUUGGAAAACAUUUGAUAUAAGGAUUUAGUUGAAAACAUGGAAUCAUCUAAAUUUAAAAAAUUUAAAACAAAAUAACUCUUAGAUGAUUUUGGUGCAUAAGUAAAGAAUAUAAUGCAUGAAAAUCAUAGUGCACCAAUAACCUUACAAAGAGAUCUCAUAAAAUUUGGGUUUUGAAAAACACUUCUCUUUGAGAUCUUCUUUUUCUUCGUAAUUUUUCUUUGACUUGAUUUGUCUUUGUAAUUGUCAUUUUGAAAAUCGUCUUACCUAAUCACACUUAAAAUAUAAUUAUUAGUUCUAAACCAUAUUUUGUUAUCAUCAAAACCAAGAUUAAUCAAACUUUGGUUUCACACUUGUGUUAAAAGAGACUAUUGUUCAUGUUUCACUAUAGUAACAUGCACAAUGACUUAAUAUGGGAGUUUGAGAAUUGUCCCACUGCUUAAGACAUGUGGAAUAAGCUUAAGAUUGCCUAUGGUUUGACAUAUGCAACUAGGUUGCGAGUGCUCACUUUGUAGUUCGAGUAAUAUGUCUUGGACCCCAAACACACCAUGUUUAAACAUUUUAGGAUAAUGUCAGUAAUAAUUCGUGAUUUAAAGGUAGUCAAUAAUAACCUAACUUAUGAGUAACAAGUCACAAUUGUUAUUUGUUAUUUACUUGAAUCAUAAGGACAAAUAAAACUUAAUACUCAUGCAUAAUGAGAAUAUUAAAACUUUUACUAAUAUUUUUCACCAGAUUAAGUUAGAAAAUGAGUGUUUAGGGCUAUGACAUACCACACUUGUCGCCCAUGCAGGGUACAACAUGGUAAUAAGCCUAAACAUAAGGGACAAGGAAAACACGGUUAGACAAUUGGAAACUUGGGCCGAAAAAAAGGAAAUCAUAAUAAAAAUAGAAAAAAAAAAAAAAAAAAAAGCAAAUGAGGUGAAAAUAAGGAUAAGCAUAAAAAAAAAUGCUACAACUAUGGAAAACUAGGUGUCUCUGCUCGUGAGUGUAUUAAGCUAAAGAAGGUAUAGCCAUAUCCUAAUUUUCGACAUGGUGGACUGUAGGCUUAGGAGCAAUAAAACAUGUAACAAGGAAUAAAGUGACAUUGGGUGGUUGGCGCCGUGUUUUUACUUGACGUGUUUUAUAGUUUCUUAAAAAGUUUUUUCCUCCUCAAGGAGACAACGAUGGAAAAUUAAUUCAUAUUUAAUUUAUAUCAAUUGGUAUUAUUUUUCAUUUUUUAAUUAUAUAAUAUUGGCACAAAUAUGGAGAGAUUUUUUUUCAUAGAUUUGUUUCUAAGUUUUAUUUCUUUAUAUAUUUAUUCAAAUUAAUUUUAUUUAAUCUUAUUUAUAAUAAAUUAAAAAUACAUUAAUUAGGUGGCGGGGUAUGCUUCUACUGUUACCUUUUUAAAGUUAGAAAUAUUAAUGUUUUCUAAUUAUAUAUUUUAUUUUUGUAAAUUUUAAAAAUGCCUCUUAUUUCUUAUUUUUUAUUUUUAAAAAUAGAAAAUAAAAAUAAAUUUGACAAUCAUAUAUAAAAAGGUACAUUUGUUUAUGUUGACACAUCAUAGAUGAGUGUUGUUUGUUGUACAGGAAAAAAAUAAAUAUUAUUAUAGAAUUCUUAUUUUACAACCUUUUAAAAGCUUAAUUAUUGUGAAAUAAUAUUUAAUGUAAUUUAAUAAUGAAUAUAUAUAUUUACAAAAUUCAUAUUUUUUUAUCAACAUACCCCAUAUUAAUAUUAAAUAUAACAAAUUAUAUUAUAUAAAUAUUAAUUUUUUCAACAACAUAACUUCAAAAUAUCUAUUAUUAUUUCUUAUAUCAUUUUUAAUUAUUUUUUAAGUUUUUAUUAAUUUUCAUUUUAUCAAAAUUAUGUCUCAAAAUAUUUAUUGAUAUUUUUAUUUAUAUAUCUAUAAAAUCAAAUUACUAAUACAUCAAUAAAAAUCAAUAUUUUUAUCCUUACUUACAAAGCGCUUUAUAUUUUCUAUCAAUUUAAUUAUUUUUAAAAUAUAAUUACUGAGAAAAAAUAGUAUAUAAUGUUUAUAUUUAAAAUAAAAAUAUCCAUAUAUCUAGGUCAGUCAAGAUUACUAAUGAAUUUAAAUUUCAAAAAAAAAAAAAUAUAUAUAUAUAUAUAUAUAAACAGGCACAAUAAUUAUCGUUUUAACAAAAAUAAGAUAAAAUUAUCUCUGAUGUGAAAAGGAGAACAGAACCCUGCUUGAAUGGGAACUCUUUUUCUUUUGGUCCAGCCUAGAGAGACGUUAGGUGGUUCUCAAAAGGCGAAAUAAGAUUUAAGGAAAAGGUUCGGCGCCUUCUCCCACCCAACGGAUCUCGCUGUGGACCAAUGGGCACAUGACAAAUGAGCUGUUUGGUACAGGUGGCAGCAUCUGACCAUCUGUCACUAUUCACUGUGGGGUCCACACGUCUCCCCCACACGGUCACACCGCCUAUAUAUAGACCCCUGAUUCUGAAGCAUUAGCCAUAUCUACUCAUUCUCCCGAAUACUUUCUUCUGCUUCUCUGUUCUCUUUCAGAUUUCGAGUUGGCUUUGCUCUAUCCUUCGUCAAUGGCGCAAGUUAGCAUCGCGAAGGCCUUUAUGCUCGUUUUCGUAGUCGCGAUCUUCUCUGCGGCUGCCACAGUCUCGGCGCUGGAUAACUCACCUGCGCCGGCCCCAUCGCCGGACGCUGGAUCGGCGUUCUCCCUCCCGCUAUCCGGCGCUGUUGUUGCCUCCUCUCUCGUUUUUUCUCUACUCGCCUUUUUGAAGUACUGAGUUUGGCUAUGUGAGAAGUUUUCAUCGUGGAGAUCGUGGAUUCACUCUGUAGAGACAUUGAUGAUUGUAUUUGAUUUAUUCAUGAUCUACAUUAUUUAUUUAUUUUUAAGUAAAUAAAAUUUUAAUUAAUUUUGUUACAUUGAUCUGUCUAUUCCCUUUCUGAUUCCCCCUUUCGCAAAUUCUAUUUUGUCAUUAAAAAUUAUGCUAUAAGUUUAAUAAAUAAUAAAACAAUAUGGAUUUGAACCUCCUUUAAACUAAAAUUCAGUUGUGGUGCAAAAUGGACUAAAAAGGGACUAAUGCAUGAAUGGUAACUUUUUUUUUUUUUCUUAAAAAAAAAACAUUAAAUGAGUAUUUUUGUCUUUUAUGUUUCCUCGUGGAUGCUUGCUAUUGAAAAUCUUAUUUUUUUUAUUUUCCUCUUGUAUUGAACAACUAGGUUCCAUUUUUUUCCAUCCCAACCACGAAUGGUUAGGGGUCUAUUCUUAUGGUAUGUUUGAAAAAAAUCAAUAUUCAAUACAUUCAUGUCUUACCACUCAUUAAAAAUAGCUAAAAUAUCUUUUAAAAUUUAUUUUUAAAUUUUGAAAUAGUAAAACUUUUUUACCCCUUCGAUUUCUUAAAAUAAUUUUUUUUUAAAUACUUGUCUUCGUUUUACUUAAAGACUCAAAACAAUUGAACUUAGGUACAAAAUAACGAAAAGUAAAAAAAAAAAAACGCACACACAAAUAUACAUAUAAAUAAAUAAAACUUAAGUCCAAUAAUCAUCUAUUAACACCACUUUUAUUUUAUAACACUAUUGAUCGUCAUACAUUCUACAUAAUUAAACUAUGAUGGAAAACUAUUUCUUGAAGUUUAAUUCUGAGAUAAUUUUAACAAAGAGAUUAUCAUGAUCAAUGAUGACGUGGAUUAAUUGUCAAAAAUAUCAAACAUCGGAUUAGGGCCCUCCUAAGUAAUUAAAGAUAUCCAUAGGUAAAAAUAGGAGAAAAUAAUCCCUCAAGGGUAAAAAGGAGAACACCGGUUCUCUGGUGACCUUUUCCCUUUGGGCCCAGUCCUAAGAGACGUUGGGUGGAUCUCAAAAGGCAAAACAAGAUUUAAGGAGAAGGUUCGGCGCCUCCUCCAACCCAACCGACCUAGCUGUGGACCAAUCGGCACAUGCCAAAUGAGCUGUUGGUACAGGUGGCAGCACCUGUCCAGCUGUCACUAUUCACCGUGGGGUCCACACUUCUCGCGCAAACCUCCUAUAUAUCGACCCCUCGUUCUGAAGCCCAGUCACAUCUUCCAGGUGCUCUCCGCUCGAAUAGUUUUCCUGUGUCUCUGUCUCCGGUUGGUUGGUUCUAUUUCUCUGCUCUCUUUCAGCUUUCGAGUUGGUUUUAGUGCUCUGUCCUUCAUCAAUGGCGCAAGUUAGCAUCGCGAAGGCCUUCGUGCUCCUUUUCGUUGUCGCGAUCUUCUCUGUGGCUACCACAGUCUCUGCGCAGGAUAACUCCCCUGCGCCGGCUCUAUCGCCGGACGCUGGAUCUGCGUUCUCCCUCCCUCUAUCCGGCAGUGUUAUAGUCUCCUCUCUCGUGUUUUCGCUUCUCGCUCUCUUGAAGUACUGAGUUCGGAUAUUUGAGAAAAUUUUAAUUUUUAUGUGAGGAUUGAGGAUUGUACUUGAUUCAUUCAUGAUCUAUAUUAUUUAUUUAUUUUAAGGAAAUAAAAUUUAUUUUAUUUUAUCACAUUGUUCUGUUUAUUCCUGAGAAAUGGAGAACUUUUUGUAUGCUUGGACCUCACGAAACAUUGCACAAACUUCAUGUGGACCAAAUCUAAUAAUGAAUUUGAAUUUGAAAAACAAUAAUAACAAAUUGGGAUCAUUCGUCAUGUUGUGGGUAAUACUUUUCUAAGGAUUAAACAUUUGAAGCGAUUUCUUGUCCGAAACCACUUAUAAUUACGCGUGUUUGACCCUGUUUCAGUUUUGUAAUUUUUGUCUUUGUUUUUCCUCAACAUUAUAUUAAAUUUUUUUGAAUAUUUAAAUUGGGUUAGAAAAACUUUUUAUAUUCCCAAUAAUAAGAUCGAAAGUAAUUGCCAUACGUUUAAUAUAUAUACAAUUUCUAAUAAUGAAUAUAGAUUUUUAAAAUACAAAUAUCAAACGCGUAUUUGGAAAUUGUUUAUUUUUAAUAAUAAAAAACAAAUCUACAACUUUAAAAAUAGAAAGGAAAUCAACGAAAAUUAAUCUUAUAACUAAGAAAGCGGUUUGACAAAAUUUUGAUAAAAAAAAUAUGUUUUUUUAGAAAUAUUUUAAAAAUAAGUAAAUUUCAUUAGUGUUUUUAAUGUUUAAAAAAAAUAUGGAUUUGAAAUUUUAUUAAAUGUUUUUAUUAUUUUAAAUUAAAUGGAAAGUAAGAAAAAUAAUAAUAAUAUUUGAUAAAAUUUUAAAUGAUUGAUGAUUAUAUAGAUUUAAUUCAAAUUUUAAAUGAGAUAAAUGAAAUUAAUCUGUUUAUUAUUAUUUUGAGGAAUAUGGAAUGAUUUUUAUAUUUUAUAUAAGUAUAUAAUAUUUUUUUUUAAAAAUGAUCAUCAAAAUUAAAAAUAUUUGAAUUUUCAAUGAUUUUUUUUAUAGAAUUUUUAAUAAUAAUUUUGUAUAAAUAAUGCCACAUAAACGACAAAAUAUCUUUGGUGAUUGGGCUUUACGUGUAAAAAAGAAAGCUGAAAAUGGAUCACCUAGCUUUGGUGACUUUUCGUCAGUUCCACUUUCCAAGAGAGCCGUUAUAGAUUUUUCAAAGUAGAGAUAUUUUUGAAAGCAACGUAAAACGGCCACUUCUUGGCUUUCGUGUUUCACACGUAAUUAGAAAUUUAGAAGAAGCAUCUUUUUCUUUGUUUUGUUUUGUUUUUUUUCCACACCCAUGAAUUGAAUGGUAUGUAGAGAGUUGAAUGGAUCGAAUCAUAAAAAGCCAGCCCCUGACCGAGUCACUGAGUCAUUAUGUCUCAAUAAUGAUUCCUAACGGUGAAUCGUCGAAUUCAGAUUUCUUCCAAACUAAAUAGUUUGUAAUUUAUAUUUCUAUAUUGAGAUGUGGGGCAUUAGAGACAAGGAACGUGUCAAAUAAGAAGUACUGCGCCACCCAUCGCCAGCCCCGCCGUGGACCAAUCAGCACAUGCCAUUAAUGAGCUGUUUGGUAUACGUGGAAACCUAUGACCAACGGUUCCCAUUCACACUAGACCCACGCGUCUUUCCAAAGCUACCUAUUUAUAGAACUCAUCUUCUCAAACCCUAAUAGCAUAUUCUCUCAAGAGUUCGAAAACACUUUCAUCUCUAACCUCUCUGUUUUCUCUAUUUCUCGUUGUCUUACGGAGUUUAUUCAAACAUGGCCCAAGUUAGCACCGUGAAGGCCACUAUGAUCCUCUUUGCUAUUGUGAUGUUUGCUGCAGCUGCUACAGUCUCGGCACAAGAAGUUUCUCCGACUCCAUCGCCGGAUGUUGGAUCAGCCUUUUCCGUACCUCUCCCCAAUGCCAUGAUUGUUUCAUCUCUGCUCGUUUCUCUCAUCGCUCUCAUAAAGCAUUGAAAUGGGAUUCGAGAUGUCGAAAUUAUCUUUUAUGUAUUGAUUUUAUAGAAGGAUCGAGUAUUGUAUUGUACUUAUUAUUGAGGAUUGUAUUUGAUUUAUGGAUGAUUCUCAUUAUUUUAUAAAUAAAUAAAUAAAAUUUUAAUUAUCUUUGAUUGUUAUCAUUUUUGUUUUAUUAUUGCACUUUUUGAUUGCAAAAAAAUGCUUUAAAGCAUUGAUUUUAUUAUAUGUCUCUAUUUUUCUCAUUUGAUAAUUUGGAUGAGAAUUGAAAUAUUAUAGGAUCGCAUAUUAACAUUUAAACAUGUAUUUAAUAGCAAAAAUUCAACCGAUUACCUUGAUUUAUGUCAUGGGAAGUCAUUUCUUCUCCCUCUGAUAUCCAAUAAGCUGCUUUUUGGGUGUGUGAUUGUUCGAGAAUUAUGGAUCAAUGAGCUCUUCCCUUACCUUCCAAAAUUCAGUCCAAAGUGCAAAUAUAUGUGUUUGAGUCAGUCAAGUAAAUUAAGAUGAAUCCAUAAAAAAUAAAACAAUAAUAUGUAUCUAGUCCCCUUAUGGAUCACAAUACAAAAAAUAAAUUAACACUUAUUUAUGAUAUUAUCAAAUUGAUUAUGUAAGUCCAUACAUAAAAAUUCCAACAAAUUUUACAUGUUUUUUCUUAUUUAAUAAUUUUAGAUAUUUUUCUUUAAUUUAAAAUAAAUAAGAUAUUUAACAAAAUAUUAAAUUAAUGAAAGUUAAUUAUAUUUAGACAAAACUAAGUGAAAUUAUCCCUUAGUUUAAAUUGGUAAGAUGCUUGUACUUUUUCUUAAAGUAGGUGUCCUAGUCUAGAACAACCAGCUUUACAGCUUACCAGAUUUCCAGAAUUAUUACCCAUGUGCCAACCCAAAAUUUGGCACCAAAAUCAUUUUAUUUUAUUUUAUUUCUAAAUGUUAAUGGGUAAUUACAACAUACAAAUUUUUUUGGAGAAAAUUAUGCUUUAUAGAACUUGAAAUUGACCAUAUGAAUGACAUAAUUGACAGAAAAUAUAUGAAAUUGUAAAAGAUAAAAAUACCAAAGAAAAUGACACAUAAAAUCUUUUUAAAAAUUGAUUGAUUGCACACAUGGUAAUGAUCCCGAAAAAUAUCUUAAUUUUUUAUUUGAUUAAUAUAAGAAAAUGUUAUUUACAAAAUAUCUUUCUUUUUUUUUACAAAAACCAAUUUCUAUUUGAAUUAGAAAAUAUUUAUAAAAAAAAUAAUUUUAUGUUAUAAAAAAAAACUCUCAAAUUUAUUAAGAAAAUAACUAUAAUUUAUUUAUUUUUAUGUUUCUAAUUUUCGGUUUAGAUUUUUUACCCAAUUGGUCAAAGCACAAUUUUCCCCAUUUUUUAUUCACAUUCAUCAUUAAAUGAAUCAAAUAUUUGAAGGCCUUUCUCCUUCAAUAAUGUGCUACAGGGGAAUUGAACGUUGGGCUAAUGCCACCCUCACCAUUUGCGUGACAACAAGGAUUUGAAUAGCAGCAAUUAACUAUUGCCAGCUUGGAAAAAGAAACCUUAGAAAGAAAAAAAAAACUAACGUUCAUUAUUCAAAAUUAAUCAGUCUUUUUGUAUUUUAUAUUAUUAAAUUAAUAAUAAAUAUUAUAAAAGAACAAUUGGGUGUCACAUGCCGACAUGAGGAGUCUAAGACCAACUGGCACAUAACACAAUCAGUUCCCGGGAAACUCGGCUUUUAUCAUGUUUAAUAAUAAAUAAAUAAAAAAUGAUUUAAGAUUAAUAUAUUACAUUAUUUUUCUUAUUCUUACAAUUUAAAAUUGAAUUUAAAAGUAAAGUAAUUAUCGAGGAAGAAUCCACCACACUGUACCCACUCAGCCACAUGCGCCCGUUGAGCUGUUGUCUAGUGGCUGCCUGGCUGGGCCGCUUCACCAGCUGUUAUUAUUCGCAGUGGGCCCUACUUGCCACUCCAACGUCCUAUAUAUUUGGGGUGGCUUCCUCUCUCGGUCUCACCAGCCCUAAGCCACUCUCAAAAUCACUCGCCUCCUUUCUCUCUCUAACUCUCCCUCAGUUUCUCACCGCCGAUCAGCUUCUCCACUGUUCACCAAUGGCGCAAGUUGGCAUGACGAAAGCCUUAAUGCUUGUCUUCGCAGUGGUGGCAAUCUUCUCUACGGCUGCUACAGUGUCGGCUCAAGAUGGCGCCCUGGCACCGGCUCCGUCGCCAGACGUCGGAUCUGCGUUCUCCGUACCUCUCUCCGGCGCUGUUAUGGCUUGCUCUCUUGUCCUCUCUCUUCUCGCUCUCCUGAAGCCUUGAGUUCCGAUCCAUGAGAGAUUGCAGAUUUUGUAUAUGGAUUGAAAUUUGAGGAUCGUAUUAAAUUUAUUCUUUGUUCAUUUGGGAGCAUUAUUAUUGUUACCAUUUUGUGUUAUUAUUUUAUUAUCAUAAUGAUAUAAGAGAUUUAUACUUAUUAUGUCGGAUCCGAUCUGCGUGAUGCUCUCUCUUCUCUUUUCCUCAAGAGAUUGCCAUUCUGAUUUUCUUCCAACGAAGCGAAUUGUUCUUGCAAAAGAAAACACUAAACCAUAAAGUAUUUUUAUAUUUAAACACGCAUGCAUAUGCUGUUUUCCAUAUUUAUUUUCAUUGAAAUAUCAUAGAGAAUUUUUUGUAGGUAAUUUUAUUUAAUAUUUUUUAAAAAUCUAAUCACUGAUAUCUUCCCUUUUAAGCUUUUAAUUUAUUAAUGGAAUUAUUAAAAUUAGAAGUUAAAUAGAGAUGAUUACUGACUUAGUAAUAUGUAUUAUAAUAAGAAAAAUAUAUUUAAUGUAAUAAUUGUAAAUUUAUUUAAAUUUAAAAAUUUUCACUUUAUUCAAUUAAAAUUUCUUAUACUAACCUUUUAUUUAUAUAUUUCUGGACCCCGGCCGCAUGAUUUGCGUUGAUGCAAGAUAAAGUCUACAAAUUAACGGAUAUUUCCAAAAGAAGAAGGGUAACGGUCAUCACCAAAUGUUAUUUUAUUAUGUUAAUAUUUAAUAGUUUUUAAUUUCCUUUUUAUAGAAAAAUAAUACAGAGGGACCCACCAACAUAGCUGUAAAGACACCAACACUGCACUUCACAUGUCCAUUUCAGCGUACGGUUGAAUUGUGACACGUCAUCAGAGUUGGUCUCCAAAGUGGGCCCCACACGCCGCUGCAAUUCACGAACGCUGUUGCUUAUUAUUCUCUCCCGGUUUCCAGAUUGUUCUGUUGUUUAUCUUUCAGUAAUGGCGCAAGUUAGCAUGAACAAAGCCUUGAUGGCCGUCUUCACAGUCGCGGUAGUCUUAUCUGCGGCCGCUACAGUAUCGGCGCAGGAUACUUCGCCGGCCCCGGCUCCAUCUCCAGACGCCGGAUCGGCGUUCUCCCUACCUCUCCCCGGCGUUUUCAUUGUUUCCUCUCUCUUCUUUUCCCUUCUCGCUCUUUUGAAACCUUGAGAUUUAUGGAUUGUAUUGGAUUCAUUCUUUGUUUAUUGAAUGAUAAUGUUUAUGAACAAAAAUCAUGGUAUUAUUUUCGUUGUUCAUGGGAGGGCUUAAAGCUUCGAUUCACUUAUUGCAUAAAUAGAAGCUUGAAUCUCAAUUUGAUAGUGCAAUAGCACAAAAAUAAAAUAAAAUAAUUGAUCUAUAAACGUAUUCGAUUGGAUCAGUCAUAAUUAUAGAAAGAAACCACUUCUUGGAGGCUCCUUUUCAAUAUUUUUUCUUAAUGAGAAUACCAAAUAAUAAAAUUUAAUAUAUAUAUAUAUAUAUAUAUAUAUAUAUAUAUAUAUAUAUAUAUAUAUAUAUCAAUUGAAUAACAAUUAUACUAAUCGAAUUGAGUGGUUGAAUUUUCCCUUUUGAGAAAACAAAAAAAAAGAAAAAAAGGAAAGGAAACGCUAGGUAAGAUUUUGGGAUCGGAAGAUUAUUCAAGGUUUUUUAAAUUGGGUCAAAAAUUCAUAUUUUAUGCACAUUUAAGCUUAAAAUCCAAAUAAAGUGUAAAAAUUAAGUUGAAUGAUAUUUUUCAUUAAUCCUUAAAAUAUUUUUAAACCCUUUGCAUUGAGUGUAAAUUUUAUUUAUUUUUCCAUUUUUUUUCAUUAAGUAUUAAUCAUUUAUAACUUUUUUUUUUUAGAGAUAUUGAAUCUUUUUAUUCUUAUUAUAAGCAAAGAUAAAAAAAUUUCAUAUAAAAUUUAAUGGAUAAUCAAUAAAUGAAAUUUAAUUAUUUUUAUUAUUUUCAUAUAAAAAAUACUACUAAACAAGGUUUUUAAUUUUUAUUUUUUAAUUAAAUGUUUUUUUAAUCAUAUUACCAUUUUUUAGAAAGUAUUUUUUAAAAUAGUUUUUGAACUUAAUUUUUAUUUACUUAUAAUUUAAAAUAUAAAAUAAUGUUGAUUUUCAAUUAUUUAUAAAAAAAAAAUUUUAAAAAUAAUAAAAAAUUCAAAUGGUUAAAAUAUAAUUAUUAUGGUUACAUGAAUAAUGGUGCGAUAAAAAAGAAACUUAUAUGAAAGUUUAAUGGGUAUUUUGAUAUUUUAAUAUCUUAUAUGAUUUCGAUAUGUUAUGUUAUACUUAUCAAACUUUAAUUUUUGGCCCAAAACACAAUUAUACCUUUUAAAUUUAACCGUACCAAUCACGGACUAAAGUGUCAGCUAAAAAAAAACAUAAUGGAACUUUUGGUUUCGCCGCAGAGAUGUGUUGAAUAGCUUUUUUUUUAACGUUUCUUCUUUUUCUUUUCCUACGGUAAAAAUUAGGGUUUGAAAACGACAUACAACGGUUGGUUAUGCUUUAUAUUGAAAAUAAAUAUUGUCUUUAAAUAUUUUUAUUCAAAAAUUCAGUUUUCAAUUAUUUUUUUUAGUAGAACAGAUGGGAUAUUUUUUUUAUAUCAAAUAUAUUUAAGUUCUAGUUUUUAAAAUAAAUUUCCAUUUACCUUAUCGUCUAAAAAUAUUUUGCAUUUUUGAAAAAUAACCUGCAUUUCUUAUUUAUUUUUUUAAUAAUAAUAAACGAAUACACAAAAUGUGAUGAAUGUGAUGAUGCUAAAAGCAUAGCUGAAAAAGGAGAGGGAAAAAAAAAAUUGUUUCCAUAUUUUUUCCUUUCCUUUCCAACAAAUACUUUCGGCGUGAGCCACCGACAUCAACGCUGGGACAUGCCGAAGUUGAGCUGUUCGGUGAAGAUUGUGGCACGUCACCAUAUGUCACAUCAUUAGUGGGGCCCACACACUGUUUUUAAACUCCUCUGGCUCUAUAUAUUUGACCCUCUAAUGCUAGGCGUGACAGACGUUCUAAUCUGCUCUCAAAGUUUCUAGAUCAUUUCCCUUUUUAUCGUUCACUAAUGGCGCAAGUUAGCAUCAUCAAAGCCUUAAUGCUCGUCUUCGCAGUCGCGAUUAUCUCCGCGGCCACUACAGUCUCGGCGCAAGAUGGUUCUCCGGCGCCGUCUCCGUCUCCAGACGCCGGAUAGGCAUUUUCCAUUCCUCUCUCCGGUGCUGUCAUUGCUUCAUCUCUGAUCCUGUCUCUUCUCGCUCUCUUGAAGCAAUGAGCUCCGAUCCGUGAGAGACUCUCAUAUUGCAUUGCUACCGGUUGAUUUUGUAUGGUGAUUGUAUUGAAUUCGUUCUUUUUUUUUUUUUUUUUUUUGUUUUUUGUUAUGAAGAAUUAUAACAAAUUUACAUUUCUUGCUUUGGAUUUGGUCGUGCUGCACCUGUAAUCUCUUGUUCACGCUUCACAAGAUUUAUUUUAAAAAAAAAUUUACAUCAAGGAUCUGAUUGAACUUUUGGGGGAUCCGCGCGAUCGACUUUCAUGUAUUUUGUAUCUCUCGAUGAAGCUAGAGGAACAGAAAUAGGCAGUGUUUAUACCUUCUUGCUUGUUCACGCAAUAUCUAAUAAUAAGUUAAUAACAAUGUUUUCAAAAGCAGUUUCACCACAUUUUCAGUAGCGCAUGUAUUUGAUUGAAUUAGAAAACUCUUUACUGAUUUUUAAAAAAUAAAAAAAUUGUUUCAAAAACUUUUUUAAAAAAAAUAUUUUACCAAAUUCAAAUUCAUAGCGACAGAUAUUCAUCAACGGUUGCUGAAGUACUUAUAUUUUAUAAUUUUGCUUUACAAUGAAGCAUAAAUAAAGUUUACAAAAAUAUGAACAUGUAUUGAUAUAAGGGGCAUAAUAAAUUUAUUAUUGAUAAAUAAGAGGAUAAAAAAAAAUUAUAAAAACCGUUGAACUCACAUUAAUUUGAGAAUACGAGAUUUUAAAAACAACAUAGACAACUCUAUUUGGAGUUCAUUUGUUUAGUUAGUUUAUUAGAUGCAUAAAUUAAAUGUUCUAUUAUUUCAAUAUUUAUCACCAUGAUUCUUUUAACAUAUACCAUUUGAAGUUUCAUGCUUAGACUAGAGAACCAGUGGGAGAAAAUAUGUUUGAAUAUUUAUUUUUUGUUUUUCAUUCUUUAAAAAUUCAAAAAAUAGAAAAAGUGAAAAACUAAUUUGGUUGGUGUUUUCAUAUUUGAGUUUAUGAUCAAGGUAACAUUAAAAAAAAAUAAAAAAUAAAAAAUCUAAACCUAUGAUAAAAAUAUUUGUUAAAAUAAUACAUUGAUAUAGUAUCAAGUUUCACUUUAUUAUUUAUUUAUUUUUUGUUUUUUCAUUUUAAAAUCAUAAUUAGUAAUUAUGGUUUUAGCUUUGAAGUUUAAACAAUAAUUAAAACUCGUUUAAUAAUGACUUUAGAAAUUGUUUCUAACCAAUAAAUAGUUAAAAACAAAAUUUAUUAAAGUGUUAAAAAGUUUAGAAAUCUUUUAUAAAAAUAAUAUCAAACACAUUAUUAUUGACGGUGGUUUUUAAAAUCAUUGUUGAUAAUCAUGGUUUUAAAUCAUCAAAUAUAAUCUUUGACAUAAAAAAAAGUCAUUUAAUUGAUUACAUAAUUAUAAAUAUUUUAAGAAAGAUCUAUUUUUAUUGUUAUUUUCAAAAGCACUUUUUUAACCUUAAAUCCUUCAAAAUUUCCUUAAAAACUAAACAAGUGAAAAUAGUUAAAAAAAGUAAAAACAUGAAAGUUAAUAAAAUAAUGUAAAAUAAAUAAAAUGAAUGUGAAUAUUUAUUAAUUAUGAUUCAAAGUCAAAUUAAGACAAUGAAAAUAUCGGUAAUUACUGAUAUAUUGAUAUUUUGAUUUUACGGAUUUUUUUUUUUGAAAAUAUAGAUAUAUUUAAAAUUAAUCAAAAUUUAUGAAAAUAUAAGAAAAAUCCCAUAAAAAUGCAAUUAGAAGUAUAAUAGAUAUUUUAAAUUUAUUUUGUUAAAUAAUUUGAUAUAUGCAUGAUAUAAUUUAUCAUAUUUAAUAAUAAUUUCGUAUACAUCGAUAAAAAAUAUGAAUUUUAUAAGUAUACAUUUAUUAUUAAAUUAUAUUUUAUGUAAAAUAUUGUAUUUUUUUUACUAUAAGUCUAUAAUAUAUCUAAUUUAAAAAUAUAUUUAAUAUCAAAAUUUUAAUCUAUUUAAUUCAAUUAUAUUAAAUGAUAUAAAAUAAAUGGUGAUAUAUGUAUAAUUAUAAUAUUUAAUAAUAAUGUUUAUAACUUGAAAACAUAUUUUAUGCAUAUACAUCUAAUUUUGACGUAUUUAAUAACAUAAAAAAUAAUGAUAAUUUGCAUAAGUAUUUUUUAUUUUAAAAUUUUGAUAAUUUUAUUCAAAAAUUAAUAGUUAUUUUAUAUGUAAUUAUUAUAUAAAAGUCACAAUAACCAAAAUUAAUUUAUUUAUACUAAAUUUAUUCUGAUUAAUUUAUAAUUAUAUAUAUAACAUUUAUUUAGACAAAAACAUAGUUGGUUGGCUGGUGUUGGUGGGUGAUUGUGAGUGUGAGGUUGGGGGUUCAAAUCCUUUUCCAUUUGGUGUUUGGAUUGUCGAUGUGGGUGCAUUGAAGAAGUGGAGUACUCAUAGCGUGCAGCACCAGCUAGUUGGAUUGGGCCAACAGAAGAGUUUUGGGGAAAAAUUGGAAUCCCACAUCGACAAUCCAUGACACCAAAAAGGUGUAUCGGAGAAGUGGAGUACUCAUAGGCAUGCACUGCCAGGCUAGUUGGGUUGGGCCAACAGAAGAGUUUUGGGGUAAUGUGGUAAUGUGGCACCGAACUAUCAACAUUUUCAUUUGGAUAUCACAAUAUUAUUAUAUUUUUCAUAUUUGUACUAAUAAUAUUUCACUUGAAAGUAAUUAUUUUUUAAAUCAAAUAUUUUAAAAAUAAAUAUGCCUAUUUGAUCAGUAUUUUUGUUAAUUAUAGAUAUAUGAAAAUAUUUUGUUGUACUAUUUAAAUAAUUUUUUUUAUCACACAUCGAGAAAAUAAAAUAAAAUGUAAUGAAUAAAUAUAACAUAAUUAUUUGUAAAUAAAAAUUAAUACCUAAUAAAAUAAUAUAAUUGAUCAAUUCUUUUAUUAAUUAUAGUCAUAUUAUUUAAAAGAAAACUAAUUAAUAGAGAAAAAAAUAAAAAAGAAUAAUCAAUAUAUACAAUUGGAUAAGAAAAUAAAAUGUAAAAAAUAAAAACGUUUCCACACCAAACACAACUUUAGAGCAAAUAAGGAGAACAAGUAAAAUAAAAUUGAUUUGGAAUUUAUCUUAAAAGGGUUGAUUUCAAAGAAAUUUAGAAGUUUUCCAACUAAGAAAACGAGUGAGAAAGCAUGUUCUAGAGAAAGGCGCGACACGUGCCAAUUGUCGGUGAGCUGUUUCCAUUCACAGUGGGGUCCACACGCCCCUCCAAAACUACUAUAUAUAAGAUUCACCCCUUCACUAUAUCUAUCAAGAAGCACUCGGCCUUCUCUCUUGCUUUAUUUUUCUCUUUUUAGUUCAUAACUGGUGUGCGCUUCUGUAUCCUUCGCUAAUGGCGCAAGUUAGCAUCGUCAGAGCCUUGAUGCUCGUCUUCGUGGUCGCGAUCUUCUCCGCGGCCGCUACAGUUUCCACGCAAGAUGUUUCUCCGGCGCCGGCUCCGUCUCCAGACGCCGGAUCAGCGUUCUCUGUACCUUUCCCGUACGCUGUGAUUGCCUCCUCUCUCAUCUUGUCUCUUUUCGCUCUCUUGAAGCCUUGAGUCACGAUCUAUAAUACAUUUGUAGUUUGCAUCUAGAUGAUCUUGCAGAGUCAUUGUAUCGAAUUCCUUAUUUUUUAUUUAUUUAUCACAUAUAAAUGAAUAAAUUUAUAUUUGGCCCAAAUCAUUUGGAUAGCUUGAUUCAUCUGACAUUUUUCAUUCGGACAAAAAAAAAAAACGAAGGUAGGGAGAAACAGGAGGAAGUAGUAUUUGUAUGUCCUAUCUACAGAAAAAGAAAGGAAAAUUGAAUAUGAAUAAUUUUAAUUCUGGUAUCAAAAUCAAUAAAUGUUAUAAAAUUAUUAAGUUUUUAGGAAGAUAUCGUGCAUGUAGACUAGGAUGGCCUUUCAAUUUUUAGGAUUUCAUUCCUAACACGUUUUUAAAUGACCGGUAAAUUCAAGAUGAAUGAAUAUAACAUUCUAAAUAUCUAAUAUUUUCAAAUUGAUGACAAAUAUUAAUAUUUGUCGCAAAUCUCUCUAUAUAAGUGCAAUAUUUUUUAUAUAAUGAAUUAUAGAAAUAAAUAAAUAAUAAAAAAAUAAAUAAUAAAUUUAAAAUCAAUAAUUUAUUUUAAUAUAUUAUUUUAAAUUCAUUUAAAUUAUUUUAACUUAGCAUCGAUAAUGUAUAAAUUUUAAAUCAGUUUUAAUUAUAUUUAUUUUUUUAAAUAUUUUUUAUAUAAUUAAAUAUAAGAAAAUAAUUUUUAAAUUUUUUUUUAUUUCAAGUUAUCUCGUGAAUUCACCGAUAAAAACUGAAACAAUAUUUUAAAAUAAUAAUAGUGUUUUAGUAAAAUAAAAUAAUUAAUAAUGUUAUAUAUUUAAUAUUUUUAAAAUUUAAAAAUAAAUCAAAUAAGUAUUUUUAUAUAAAAUAACCAAAUAUCAUAAUUGCCCAAUUUAAUGGAAUAGACACAUCCAAGCCCACCCUGAAUACUAAGUUUGGGUCGUGGUGUAAGAAAUAGGAAUAAUAUAAGUUGCAUUCCUAAUUUUCCUUAUUUGAUUAUUUAAAUUAAUGAAAAUUUAUUUUUAUUAAUUUUAGAUUUUUAGUUUAUUAUUUUUAAAGUAUGUUUGAAAGUAAAUAUAAAAAACGUUUUUAAUAUUUUUAAUAUUUAAAUAAAAUUAUUUUUUUAAGUAUUAAAAAUAUUAAAAGCGUUUUUUUUUUUGUCAUUAUCAAAUCGGAUGUUAAUAUUUUAUAAGAAUAUGCGCAUGCCAGGUUGGCGUUUGGUAAGUCUGGUGACCGAUCAACAGCUGUUAGCGUUGAGGUGGGGUCUACGCUCCCCUCUUCAACCACGCUACGCAUUCCAUCCCCUCUGAUACACCUCCACACACUCCUGACUCCCCUUCGUCUCCUCUUCGUCCUGUCUGGCUCGUAGAUCAUGUAGGAAUCUAAACGAAAAUCCCAUAGGUUUAAUAAAUAUUAUAUUUAUAAAAUUAUUUCUAAAUCUACAAUAUUUUCAAAAAAUCGAAUUAAUAAUUAUCUUUUAUCAAACAACUUGAAUUAAAAUUUGAAAAAGAUAAUUUUCAUAUUUAAACUGAAAUUAUGUUUCGAAAAGAUAACCUUCAAUUGUUAUUAAAAAAAAUAAUGUUUCAACAUUGGAGAGUUUACCGUCACUGCUCUACCACCAAGCCAUGGAUCACAUUCUUCGUAUCCCUCUCCAAAGCUAUUUUUACCUCUCAUCUUUUCUCUUCUCUGUUCCCUUGAAUCACUGAGUAUGUAUAGAGAUUUACUUUGCUGUUACCUCCUCACUCACUUUUCUCUUCUCUGUUCCCUUGAAUCACUGAGUAUGCAUAGAGAUUUACUUUGCUGUUACCUCCUCUCUCACUUUUCUCUUCUCGCCCUCUUGAAUUAGUGAGUACCCAUAGAAAUUUUCUUUCUUGCUGACUCCUCUCUUCUCUUUUCGCUCUGUCGAAAGAGUGGGUAUGCACUAUGCAUAGAGUUUUACUUUGUUGUUGCCUCCCCUCUCUCGACUCUCAUCUUCCCUUCUUGCUCUCUUGAAUCACUGGGUAUCCACAGAUAUUUACACUGUCGGAUCGUAUUGAAUUUAUUCUUCCUUAUUUAAUAAACAAUCGUCUAAAUGAAAACAUGAACAGUUAAUGUUCGUAUGGUUAGAUUAAAAAGGCCCCUCAAAACCCCAUUUUUAAAAUUUAAUCUCCCACCAUUUUUUUGGCAUCAUAAAAAUAUUCCCAUUAUUUUCUUGUAAAAAUAAUUAUUUUUUUUAAAACCUACAUGCAAAUACUUAAAAUAAAAAAUGAUAUUUAUAUCAAAAAAUAAAUUAUUUUUUCAGAAAAAACAUGAAAAAGAGUUAGAUUUUCGAUUUUGGGAAAUAUUUUAUCACUUUUAACCAAAUAUUUCUAAAAUCAUUUCUUUUUUGCUGCUUUUUUUUUUUUUUUUUCGAAUAUUUAUACAAAUUUUAGUUUUUUGUUACACGUACAAAUGGUGUAAAAGCCCUCAGACCACAUUUCUUUCCGAUUUGGUGCAGGGUUGAGUAAAUAUUUCAGGAAGGAGUCCCCUUGGAUUCUUGAACGUCCAACUCAUGCUCUGCUACCAUGAUGCAUGAGUCAGCUUCCAGAGAUGAGGCUGAGCUUUUAUCCUUCAACAAUGAUUCUUUUGGUGAACUUAGCAUCUCUGUUGAGCACUGAACGUCGGGUGUAAUUCCAACCUGGUCUAUGUCGUGUAAUGCUGGUGAUAAAUACUUGGCAACUGUCACAAACAGAGCUGAUCCAUCAUGGAGCUCUGUAACACUCUGUGCCAAUUAUGAUGAUAAAACAAUUAAAACCAUGACAGAAAUGGCAAGAAAAGAACAGCCACUACCACAAACACCCAGUUUCUAGUGAACUUCUGGAGGUCUGGUUGAUGACUAUAAACUGAAGAGAAAUCUUUAGUAUAUCAUGACUGAGACUACCUGAAUUUUCCCUUUCCCAAAGGUUUUAUGCCCGACAAGAAUAGCUCUACCAUUGUCAUGCAGUGCUCCAGCCAGAAUCUCACUUGCACUUGCACUGCCCUCAUUCACCUGUUUCAGCAAGGGGAAAAAAAUGGCAGUAGAAACCAUUUCAGAGCCAUUCUAUGAAACCCAUGUUUUAGGCGUGCAACUUAUUGAAAAAAAAUAAAAAUGCAGAGCCACUUUUAUUACUUGUAAUUGAAAUAAAAAUAGUGACAGUACGCUGCUGAAGGGUCCGGAACUUACAAGCACGACAAGUGGAUCACGUGUUAUGGCAUGCCCAUCGACCAUGUUAAUGGGUAGCAUAUUCCCAUCCCGAUCAAUGGUGUUCACCAAAGUUUCGUCGCCAUCUAGCCAUAUUUGGGCAACAUCAAGUCCAACUUUUACCAAACCACCCUAUUAUAUGAUUUGAAAGAAAAAGACAAACAGGAUGAAUGCAAAAAAUGUUGGAUGGAUAGUCAAUGAACUUUCAGAAACAAAUUCCAUCAAUUCAAGCAUUGUGGAGCUACCGGAUUGUUCCUCAAAUCCAGUAUGUAUGAGCAUACAUCCUGAGCCUCCAUUUCAUGAAUGCAAUUUUCCAUUUCAGCUGCAGCUGUCUGUCAAGAAAGAAAAGCAAUGGCUGGAUUCAUAAGAAAAUAUAAAAGUAUGACAAGCAUUCAGCUGGUAAGGGACUGAAUUAUUGUAAUUCAAUCUAUAAUUGCAAAAAUGAGAAAGAAUUGCAUCUGUCCAUGGCCAAGAGAUGAGUUAAAGCAACAAUUACCUGAGAAAACGCAGACAGCUUUACAUAUCCUAAUUUUGAUACAUGGCCAUCUGGGGUUUUGUGGGGGAUGAUAGCACUGGAUAUGGGGGAAAGCUUAAUAAAAUCACGGGAUAGUUUGACCUUCAAGAAGAUCGACAUGUUCCGUGUCAGCUCAUCAUAGACUAUUAUGAAGUGAGAAUCAAACAAAGCUCAUGCAUAUUAAUGCAGGACACUGCCAUCCAUUAUUUAUUUAAGAAGGUUUCUUCUUAUGGAGUCAUGAAGACAGCCAUUGCAUUCUGUCAUAAACCACUACCAACCAAUGGAUAUGUGAUGAAAAAAUACCUCUCUGAAACCAGAGUCACUUCCCCAAUCUGUUCCCUGGAUAAGAGAACAGUAAAUCAGUUAGGAAAUUCAUAUUUAUAGAGAAGAUGACAUAUCAGCACAAAAACCUAAAAUAAAAGAAAUACUUUUUCCCUAAAAAACAAGGGCACUGUCCAUUAGAGAACCAUAUCAGACAUCAAGUGUUAGAUACUUGUCCAUGCCACCAAAAUCACUCAAAAUCAGCGGCUAGAGAGAGGAAUAUUA